GCAUCUGCCAUCUGGUUCUCAUCACGAGGUAUAUGAUACAGCUUUACUGUUGUGAAGAAAGUCAACAGUCUUCUCGUGUAAUCUCUGUAGGGGACCAGAUUAGGCUGGAGAGUAUUCCAAUCACCAUUCACUUGAUUGAUCACUAGAGCUGAAUCUCCGAAGAUGUCCAGAGUCUUGAUUCUCAAAUCAAUGGCUUGCUCAAUACCCAAGAUACAGGCUUCAUACUCAGCUUCAUUAUUGGUGCACUCAAAAGUCAGACGAGCGGUGAAAGGCAUGUGGGCACCUUUCGGAGUGGUAAUGACAACACCAAUUCCACUUCCUUUGGCAUUGACGGCCCCAUCAAACAUUAAAGUCCACUUUUCAUCUGGAUCAGGUCCCUCCUCAACAACUGGCUCUUCACAGUCUUUCAUCUUGAGGAACAUGAUGUCUUCAUCUGGAAAAUCAAACUUCAUCGGCUCAUAAUCAUCAAUCGGCUGCUGAGCAAGAUAGUCUGACAGAAUACUCCCUUUGAUGGCUUUCUGGGAUGUAUACUGGAUGUCGUACUCUGUCAGUACCAUUUGCCAACGAGCAACCCUUCCGGUGAGAGCUGGCUUCUCAAAUAUAUACUUGACUGGAUCCAUUUUGGAGAUCAGUAAGGUCGUGUGAGUCAGCAUGUAUUGUCUCAAUCGCUUAGCAGCCCAUGCAAGUGCACAACAUGUCUUUUCAAGCAUUGAGUAUCUCGACUCGCAAUCUGUGAAUUUUUUACUCAGGUAGUAGAUGGCAUGCUCUUUCCUACCUGUCUCGUCGUGUUGACCGAGAACACAAUCCAUGGAAUUAUCGAGUACUGUCAAAUACAUAAUCAGUGCUCUCCUUGAGACUGGAGGCAUAAGGAUUGGAGGAUUCUGCAAAUACUCUUUUAUCUUUUCGAAAUCCCUUUGGCAAUCAUCAUUCCACCUGAUAGCCUGAUCUUUUCCUAACAACUUGAAUAUUGGCUCACACGUGGCUGUUAGGUGAGAGAUGAACCUUGCAAUGUAGUUCAACCUCCCUAAGAAACCAAGGACUUGUUUCCCUGUUCUUGGCUCAGGCAUUUCUUGUAUUGAUUUUACUUUGGCGAGAUCCAUCUCAAUCCUUUUUUCACUAACAAUAAAACCCAGCAGUUUUCCAGAUCUCACCCCGAAAGUACACUUGUUCGGAUUAAGCCUCAGCUUGAAUUUCCUCAAACGCUCAAACAGCUUCUGCAAAUUCACCAAAUGUUCUUCUUCCGUCUGAGAUUUGAAAUCAUAUCGUUCAACAUAAACCUCGAUUCAUGAUGAAUCAUAUCAUGGAAAAGAGUUACCAUAACUCGUUGAUAGUGCCGCCAGCAUUUUUCAGACCACACGGCAUCACCUUGUAGAGAAGGUGCCCCAUGGGGUUAUGAAAGUUGUCUUCUCCAUGUCUUCUGGUGCCAUCUUAAUUUGAUUAUAGCCAGAAAAGCCAUCCAUGAAGGAGAAUACCGAGAACUGAGCCGUGUUAUCCACCGAAACGUCGAUGUAAGGUAAUGGGAAAUCAUCUUUAGGACUAGCUUUGUUCAGAUCCCGGUAGUCAACACACAUCCGUACCUUUCCUUCCUUCUUAGGUACUGGAACGGUGUUUGCAAUCCAUGGCGGAUAAUUGGUAACCGCUAGAAAUCCUGCAUCUAACUGUUUUUGCACUUCUUCCUUUAUCUUGACAGCCUUCUCUGGUCUUGUUCUUCUGAGCUUCUGCUUGAUCGGAGGACAAUCUUCUUUGAGAGGCAAACGGUGUACCACAAUGUUUGUGUCAAGCCCUGGCAUGUCCUGAUAAGACCAAGCGAAGAUGUCAACAUACUCUUGUAGCAAUUCAAUCAGCCCUUUCUUCACAUUAUCUUCCAAAGCAACCCCUAUCUUGAUUUCUCUCUUGGCGUCCUCGGUGUCGAGAUUAAUCACUUCAAUAGACUCUUGAUGCGGUUGAAUGACCCUUUCCUCCUGUUUUAACAACCUAGCAAGUUCUUCAGGGAGUUCACAAUCUUCAUCCCCCUCUUCCUCAGCUUGAAAGAUUGGAUUUUCAAAGUCGAAGCGAGCCAUAGCAGAACUGUUAUCAAUAGGAUCCGAUGACGUGCAUCUGCAUGAGUGAUGGUAUGUGCUUAUGAGUGUGAACAAGGAGUGAAAACUAAACAAAACAUUGCCAAAUAUUUUUUGAUUUUUUUUUAAAACUGCAAAAAUAGAAAGACGGUGAACAAAAUAUUUGGAUGCAAAAAGACGUCCUUUAUUUAUGAUAAAUAAUGCAGGUAUCCACAUAGGUGAGCCAUACAAUGAGUCAUUACGCCCUGGGCGGAACGUAAGACUUGGAUAUGCAUGAAUAAACAAAGAAAAUUACUCUUCAAGAAGAGUGACUUGGAUAAUCUCUUUAGAAGACCAAUUGCGGAGAACUUCACCCGGGACCCUUGAACGCACCCAGUUGUCAAUAUCGUAAUCACUACCCCCAUCUUCUUCGUUGAUUGCAGAGAUCUGGCCGUAUUGAAUGAUGCCAACACUGGCAGGAAAGAGAGGAUCAACAUCUGCAUUCUCAAACACUUCUUCAACAACCCCUUCAACAGACUUUUGGGCAGAUAGGUCUUCAACCUGAAGGAUACCAUCGUCAAGCAAGGCCUAGAUACCCUGCUGCAGCUUCACACAACCUCCGCUCUGUGCAACACAACCCAAAAAACCGCUCCCACAACCGGGGAAAACAUCUGCCUUUAGCAAGUAUUCUUUGAUUUCUAACAGCGGAGUCUUCAACUUCAACACAUCCUUAACUGACUUGACUUCUCCUUCAACCAUGUUAACAUUUGCUCCACCAUGCUGCGGCAUGGGAUUGUUGACGACAUUAGGAGCCAGCGCAAAGUUAAUGGCCUUUGAGUCAAUAAGGUCCUGAGCUACGCGCUUAAAAGCUUUGCAGUUCUCAAUAGUAUGGCCAUGUGCCCCAUAGUGGAAAUUACACCUAGCGUUGGGGUCAUAACCCACUGGAAGCCUGCCAACGGGAGGAGCCAAAGUGCGCAACUGCACAAGUUGCAACUGCUGAAGGUUGGGAAGCAAUUGGGCGUACGACAUCGGAAGAGUGUCGAAAUGCCUAUCCAUCAUCCUCUGUCUCUGUUGAUAAGCAGGUCUGUUACCCUGUUGUUGUUGGUAUUGAUUUUGUUGACGUUGAGGUUGUUGUUUCUGUUGAUAAGCAGGUCUGUUACCCUGUUGUUGUUGGUAUUGAUUUUGUUGACGUUGAGGUUGUUGUUGUUGCACUGGUGCUGCAGCCGGAAUGGUCACAGCUGCAACAUAAGGUUGUUGAUGGUAAGUUUGAAAAUUAUUCCUUCUGUUACCUCUUCUCUGAUAAGAAGACACAGCAUUUGCAUCCCCUUCUCUCAUCUUCUGUCCUCCUAAGAACGACUUCUUUGACCCCGAAGAUGAUCCAACCCCGUUUUGGAUCUUACACGUCUUCAAGUAGUUCUCCACCCUCUCACCGGUUGAGACCACAUCAGCAAAGUUUGAGGCGUUGCAACCCACCAGACGCUCCAAAUAAGACCCAGAUAGUGUGUUCAUAAACAUGUUAGCCAUCUCUUUUUCCAACAUCGGAGGCUGAACACGGGAAGCCAUCUCUCUCCAGCAUUGAGCAUACUCUUUGAAGCAUUCGUUGCUCUUGAGAGACAGAUUCUGGAGUUGAGUUCUGUCAGGUGCCAUAUCCGCAUUGUACUGAUAUUGCUUCACAAAGGCCUCAGCCAAGUCUCUCCAGCAGCGAAUAUGGGCUCUGUCCAGCCUCAUAUACCACUCCAAGGAUGCCCCAGCUAGGUUGUCCUGGAAGAAGUACAUGAGCAGCUUCUCAUCAUCAGAAUACGCAACCAUCUUACGGAAGUAAGCUUGUACGUGAGUCUUCGGGCAAGAAUGAGUCUAUAUUAGUAUCCAUCACUCGUCUGUGUGGUCCUCUCUCUCCUCCUUAACCUUUUGUUAAGUAAUUCUCAUUAACUUUUGAAUGAGUAAUUCAACCAUCAUUCUUCUCAACCUUUUGUUUGGAAUAUCCCUUUCCUUGUGUUAUGUAGUCGUUAUUACCUGUUCUACGAGAAAAACCAUAUUUUCCCAGCGAGGUCGUCCCUCAUUCCCAUUUCCUUCUUAACCUUUUGGUAAGGAGUUUCUCGUCACCUUUUUUAAGAGAAGUUUGUCUACCUUUUAUCUUAACUGUAUUUAGGAACUUUUGUUUCUCUUGCUAAGAAGUCGUUGCUGCCUAUUGCACAAGAAGGUCGUUUCUCAGUUGAGUUGCUUGCCUUUUUAAGACGUCUAUCUACCUUUUGCAGGAUAUCUCAUUCCAAUUAUUUAUACCCUUUGGUACUUGCCUUUUUCAAAACACGUGAUUCUUUUAUCUCUGUGGAAUUCUGCGGGAACACCUCGACCACCGGUUAGUGGAGGCAAGAAAGAAAAGAAAAAAAGAUGAAAAAGAGAAAUAACGAAAGAAGAAGAAUAUAUAUCGUGCAUUACACACAUUGCAUUAGCAUUGUGCAUACCUCAUACAUGUCUAACCUUCUAUAACCAUCCUUUCACCCUUAUAAAUACCCAUCUGCCAGAUAAAUUUCCAAUCCUCGGCAGUUGCUCUGCACAAAGACUAGUUUGUUCACCCCACAUCCCGGUGAAGAAACUCUUUGCGACCUAUCUUCACAUUACAUUCCAUUUGUUCUUGGUGGGAAAAUUUUCCGAUAUUCUAGUAUUUAAUUCCCUCCUACAUUAAUUGUCUAGAAGUCGUUGCUAUUCAUACAUUCAGGUCCGAGAAGAUUAAAUAGGGGUAGCUGUCAUACCCCAAAAUUCACCUUACCCUUCAUAAUAUUUAUAUAGAUCACUAAACCUAAUCAUUUGCAUAUCAUCAUAAGCAUUCAUCUCAUUUGCAUAAAUAUGAUUCAACACAAGGAAGCAGGUGACUUGAAUUCAUGGUUAUGUGCUUACACCUAGUGGAAACUAGGGCUUUUUCAUCAACUUGAGGUGGAUCAAUUAAUCAAACCCUAAUUCAUUGGUUUGUGACAUUGGUAGACCCUUUCACUUGCAUGGUAAAUCACUCAUCUUUAGGCAUUUGAUCAAGCAUGAUCAUGCCUUGAUCUUUCGGGUUUGGCACAUGUCUUGUUGACCAGGUGCCCAUUUGGUUGCAUACCAUCACGUUAGCGCCUCGAUUGGCUUAGGUGAAGUCUAUUUUUACGUUUCGGUUAGGUGAAGUCUAGGGUCUUCGUGUUCUAGUUUUCUUUUUUUUCUCCUGCUAGUUACUUAAGGUUAAAGAGUGAUGGAGCUUUAAGAUGGCUUCGUAUUCAUUCAUAUAUUUCCAAGCGGAUUGAGCUUAUUCCCUCAAACAAGGCCCAAACGAAUUAUGGUGCCUCACACACUCCCUAGGCCAGGUUCACCCCAUGUGAUUGGGCUUAUCCCACUCAAUCCAAUGCCCAAUCUGAUGUUUUUUUUAGUUCACCUUGCCUUGUUUUUUUUGGUGUUAUCCUUAGGUUAAUUAAUUUAGUUUAGAUAAUUUUAAGAUUAUAUUAGUAAUCCUUUAGAAUAUUAAUUUGAUAAUCAACUCUAAAAUAUUAAUUAGGAAGUUUUAGAAUAUUAACUUUAGAUUUAAUUCUAGUUAUUUGGUUUUUUAGAAUAUUAGAAUAUUAAUUUUUUUUAAUUCUCUUAUCAUUCUUGCAAUUUCGAUUUUGAUUAAUUCUAAUUGCUAAUCUCUAACGUUUAAUCAUUGAUUUGUUUUUCUUUUUAAUUUGUUUUAAUUGCUUGAUUGAUACAUCUUCCAUACUUCAAAUCAUUGAUAGAUAGACAUUUGGUUGAUUUAAUCUUCAUUGAUUCAAAAUUGUUGAUAAAUGAUUAUUAGAUCAUUUUCGAUACUUUGAAUCAUUGAUAGGUUGUCCCUUCAUACGCCAUAUUUUGAGUCAUUUGAUUUGUGGAUAGAUAAUCUCUAGUAAUCGGUUCCAUUUUAAAAUUGUCUUCUAACUUCUAACUCCUAACAUUUAUAUUACGCUUCUAACAUUUGUAUUAUGCACCUAACUUCUAAGAUUUAAAUUCUUGUCAUUUAUUUCUUUACAUUGUAUAUCAUAAGUCCCAUUCAUCAUCACCAUUCUCCACCAUUAUUGACCAUCUUGUUAUUCAAUCUAAAACGAACAAAAACAUGAUAAAAGGGAAAAGACUAAAACAAAUUAAUUGGAGUAUUAUGGACUAUGGACUUAAUGAUUGACCUUAACAUUAGACAUCAGUAUUAUGGACCAUAUGGACUCUUGUGUAUGACCUAAGAUUGGAGACUUAGAGGACUUGUUAGUACCCUUGUAUUUGGACUAAGACUUGUGUGAUUGACCUAUGCAAUUUGGAGUUUCUGAAGACUUGUAAUCUUUUAUUACAAGAAUGGAUAGCAUUCAUAACACUACCUUAGGGAGACAUGCUUUGUAAUUCCAUUAUCCAAUUGUUAGCUUAGGAUACAAUGCACAUACGAGGCUUUCUCUUGAGCUACCUUACAUCGACACCCUUUAUUUCUCGCAAAAAUCCCUUGUAUUUUUCAUGUAUCUCUCUUCCCACUUUGGUGUACUUUUUACUCGUUUUCUUUUGUCUUGUUAUUUCUUGUUAGCUACCCUUAGGAUAUAGGAUCGUCACUAUUUCAUAAAUAAUAAACAAACCCUUGAUUCAAUGUCAAACGGCAUUUUCUCAAAUCCUCCUGGUUACGAUGCCAAUGCAAGGUGUGAAUUCCCCUCUGGUGCUCUCGGGCACACUAUUGAAAACUGUAAAUCUCUGAAGCACAAGGUACAGGAUCUUAUUGAUUCUAAAUCCAUCUCGUUCACACCUAAUGGUCAAAGAAAGCACGUAGAAAGGCAAAGAAAUAAAUUCAUCACAAGAGCCUUUAAAAGGCUUAAUUGUCUAGUAGGAAAGUAAAAUAUUGUUCAAAAGUACAAAGUGCACAUCACCAUUGAUGGCCAACAUAAAAAGCAACUUAAGUAAAUUUAAAUUUCAUGCUCAUUCUUCUGGCCUUCUGAUGUUGGAUUAUCAUAUGUCACGUCCUUCAAGCCUUUUUUUUCAGGAGAAGCUUCUUCCAUGUCGACUAGUUUCCCAUCCACCAGAGUCCUUGAGAAAUUCAUUCUUGACACAUCAAGGUUUGGCCGAUGCAUAGAGCUUGGGUUUUGGCCCUCUCAAAGGAUUCGUCGCUAGCGAAAAUCAAAUUCACAUGGGCAUCUUACAAUGAUUUCUUCAGAGUCUCGUUGAGGGUCCGAGAUUGCUUUAUUUCUUGAGUUAAGCCAACAUUAGUUGCCUCCAAUUCUGAGCAUUUGGUUGUCAUUGUUUCCUUCUGCUUAGUCAUUUCCAUAAUUGAGAUUCUGACAUCUCCUUUUGCUUCUUUAUUUCCGAGAGUUGCUUAGUUAGUUCUUCUACAUGAGUAGUCUGGGCUUUCAAGUUUUCCUUUGAUUGAUUUAGCUUUUUGUAAGGAGAAUUUGAUUCUGUUCAUGACCAUUACCCACUUCAAAUAAACCCCUAGGCAUAACAUCAUAUCUCAUCAAGUAUGCCCCAAGAUUAUGGGUCAAUUGUUGAGCACCAAUAAACUUUACCUUUUCGACAUCCUCAGUUGCGUUCAAAUGAUCAUAAGAAAUCUCAACCUGUCAAAACUAUUGGACUAAAACUUAAACUCAAAAGAAGGUUUGGAUUGGUGAGUACUACCUGAAUCUUGCAAAAAAGUGGUAAUUGUCAAGUCAUCUUGGCUGGCGUCAUCACUCAUCAAAGUCUUCAUUUUCUUUGGAGAGUUGGGCUUUGGAUCCUCGGAAGUGGAGGCAGAGGUCGGCUGGGGCUCCGAUAUGAUAGAGGUUACUUUAGCAACAUCCAAUUUCUUUCGUUUAUGGGCUCGAGUCUGAAUGCCCGUAAGGUCGCUCUUGGAAGCGGACUGAUCUCCACGCCUCGUCCUAGCCUCGGCCAUCAAUUUUAUUCUAUUCGAAGAGCUUGAGAUUUAUCAUGUUAGCUGACAUUAAAGAAUCAGGAUCAAUAAAAAGAAUGACUAAUGACGUCAUACUAGAAUGAUAAGUAAACAAGUGAACGUUACCCAAAAGUAACUUGUUCGAGGUCAUCAAUUAUCUGUAAAAGAUCUUUGAGUUUCACUACCCGUAAAGCAUCCAAAACCAGAGACACGUAGAGGAUUAUCCAACCAAUUGAUAGGGGAAUGGUAGGUCCUAUUUAAAUCAUACAUAACCCGGGGAUAUCCUGUCCCACUUUUAACUCAGAGGAACUUGUCUUUAAACCCCUUAUAGUUAAUAGUGUAAGCUUGCAAGAAGCUCUUUCCCGGAAUUCCACUAAGGGAAACCCAACCUUCUUUUUAUGCACCUUUUAACUCAAAGAACGACAAGAAUAAACCUAAUGUUGGUGUUAUGUCCAUUGUGUCACAAACAACCUCAAAGGCCUUAAUAAAGCUUCAUCCAUUAUGGCGUAAUUGCGAGGGGCUGUGUUUAGGUUUUUGAGAAGAUCAGAUUCAAAUCCAUUAAAUGGAAAGUGGACUUUAAAAUCUUCAAUGACUCCUAAAUAAAAAUAAAAAUAUUUAUCCAACACUUCUUUGGGGCGAAUUGUACACACCCUUUCACCAACUGCACAGGGCUCCAAUAUAACAUCCUCUUCAUUUACAGUAUAAGAGAUUAAAGUAGUGGAAUGCAGCUUUGAGAUGUAGUUUUCGUCAAUAAUAUUAUAGUUGUAAGUCAAUACCUAUUUAUCUAUCAUAGAUCUUAUUGCUACCAUCUGAAUAUCCAAAAAAUCAAGGGAGGAAGACUCCAAAUCAGUGAUACUAGUGGGUGAAGGGAUUUCUCCAUAAACUUCUCUAAUAAUUCGGUCAAAAUCCUCUCUAUUCAAAUAACCCUCACACUCUCGCAUACAGACAUUCCAAAUCAUAUUCCUAUCACUAGCAGUAGGAACGAUUGAAUAUGAAGACAUAAUAAUAAAAAAGAAAAAGAAGCAGAAAAGUAAAGUUACCUUAAGUCUGAAGAAAGGAAGAUCAAAUAGUAGACGCUCAUGGGGAAAGUUGUUUGGGAAAGAUAUUUGAAUAAAAGUAAAAAAGAAAUAAAGUUUUAACGGUCAAGAAUUUAUAUCAAAUUGUAAUAAGAAGUGGGAGUUCCCAUAAAAGACAUCAUAAAGAGAGAGAGAGAGGGAGGGAGAGAGAGAGAGAGAGAGAGAGAGAGAGAGAGAGAGAGAUUUGUCAUCAUUAAAGUAGCUGGUGAAAGUUGAGCAUUACAGGAUGAGAAGAUCGGGGAAAGCCUUGACUCUAUGAAGAAAGGAAAUUUUUGUGCUUUCUUUUUCUGAACAUUUCAACCUUUCAGAUCUCAUGUUUGGGGGCUUAUGUACAUUCUGGAAAAUUAGUUUGACCAGCCGGGAUAUAAGAUCGAAGGAUCAUUCAUGUACAUACGAGAGUUCCUUGAGGUCGAGUUGGUGCGAUAGUCGAGUAUGUUUCAUAUUAGCAUAUCGGUAGUCGUUUUAUACCUCCUAGUGGGAAUCCGGUUAGGGUAUCAAAAUAAGCAAGACGGAGUUGACCUCGUAUAAGACGGUAAUGAUCUGAUUAGUACAAGUCGGAUCUGAUGACAAGGCUAAAAUGUCAUUUGAAAGUUCGUAAGAAACAGUUAUAGGAUGAUACUUAUGAUAUGGGAGUUAUAAUUACUAAAGAGGCAUACAUUACAUGGCAAUUAUAGUGACGGCGGAUGUUACUAGCAGAUGCAUUUAUCAAGAAUAUGGAGAGUCGAGCGAGGGGGAAGUAGAAGGAAUUAAGACCUAUAAAUAGGGGAACGUUUGGAGAAUGAAGGCAAGCAAAAAAUGAGAUAAGCAAUACAUAACAAGACACUCCAACUAGUCAUUUUAGGCUCUCUUUGACUGAAAACAAUGAAGUGAACCUUUUAGUAUUUUUUAGCAAGAACAAUUACUAUCAAACUCACUUUUCCUUUGAUUUUUAUGGUCAGAACAUCUACCAGUCCAUGCAUUUGUGACUAAGAAUCUUCCUCCUGAGAUAGAUAACGCCUCCUCACCAUCUCAACUCAAAGAAUAUGCCAAAAAUAAUAUUUUUUAUUUCAUGACUAAGAUUAUAAAAAGGAAACUCUCAUAUGGUACUCCUUACUUCCCAGACACACCUUUUCUUCUACCAUUCAUGAUAAACUCAAAUUUUAAAUUUACAAAAAAACCAUUUAUGAUAUAUUUGGUGUGAAACCAGACUAUAUAUUAUGUAUGUCAUUGUCCCAACUAAAGUCAUGUGUAACCACAUAAUGGAUCCUAAGAAUUAUAAGUCUUUAAUCUGGACUACUCUUGAAUGGUAUUUCCAUUGGAAUAGUGGAGAAAUCAAUUAAAACUAGACGAAGUCAAGGAAAUAAGAUUAGCCCUGGAAGCCGUUGGCAAACUCAAGACUAUUUUCUUCCUACACAAGCCAUAUCAGAUAGAUCUCAUAACUAAACUCCUUAUUAAAACUAGACGAAGUCAAGGAAAUAAGAUUAGCCCUGGAAGCCGUUGGCAAACUCAAGACUAUUUUCUUCCUACACAAGCCAUAUCAGAUAGAUCUCAUAACUAAACUCCUUAUUUGUAAGAAUUAUGUUAAUCUAUGGGAAACUAUUAAUGAUUAUCCUCAGUUUAAAAGUUACAAAAGAGUUAAUGGAUUAUAUCAACUUCAUCGAUCUCUAUGGUCAAGGAAAAAUCAGAGUUGGUACGAUAUGCAUAAGUCAUGAAAGGACUAGGAUACAAAAAAUUGGAGAAAGCUCGGGUCAGGCUCAUCAACAGAAACAAGAUUCUCUCGUGGAAGACGAGUCAUCAGAAGGACGUGUGCGAGAAACCCAAUGCAAAAUGUUGGAUGACACGUGGCAGUAUGAGUCACCUCCUUAUCCGGGUUACUUUAAAGACUGAUUUAAAGGUGUCACUCAUUUGUAAAAAGCAUUUCAAUAAUGCUUAUGAUGGCAUGCUUGUAAACAGUGUCUUUCUUUUCUUUUGUGUAUCUCCUUAACUAUAAAAGGGGACGUCUUAUAUCACUUUGAGGCAGAAGCAAUAAAGAAUAAAACUCGUACGGAAAUGCAAGUAUGUUCUACAUUUUCCUCAAAAAUGAGGAUUUUGAUUCAUGUUACGGUUCUCACUAUUAUAGGAUGUCAAUUUGAAUUGAUAGUCUAUGUUUGAGACUUUGUUAUGUCUAUGGUUGAUUGUUUGUUGUCUCACUUGACAAUAGCGUUAGUUUCAUAGUAUAUAGAAAUCGUAAAAGAGAAAACUACUUAAAAAAAAAAAGUGAAAAUAAUUUUAUAAAUCAUGUGUUCCUUAAAUCCUACAACCAACCAUAUUAUAAUUAUUGUACUGUAUAUUGAAUCUUAGCGGAUUAGGCGUCCGUCAAGUCCAAGCGUUUUCAAAAGGAAAGAAACAAUUAAAGUCUGCAUUAAGAAUUGCUUGUGACACAAGACCUAACCCUGUCUCUAGAGCUCUAAAAAUAAAUUUUACAAAAAUAAUUUAUUAACGAAACAGUUCGUUUUGAGAGUAGUGAAUUUACAGACUUACGAAUCUAAUCGAACCACUGCAUCUUUCUUCAAACUGCUGUGGCAAAUCAUGAUGAUGAAUUGUCAUCGCCCAAUCCCUAGAUCAAGUUCAAACUUAUAAUUGAUUAUCCAUUCAUGUAUUAAGAUUACCUUCGUUCAGAAAAGUAAGUAAGCCGAACAAUUGCUUAAGCAAAAGAGAUUCAUUCAUACACAGAAGGAUUCAUUUGAUUUAAAAGAAAGUUUCACACUAAUUCAGACCUAACACUAACAGAAAUAAUCUUAGAAUAACCAUUACAAAGUACAAAGCAAAUUAUACAUAAUUCAAGCACUUGUAAACUUAGUCACAGCUUUGGUUCCCUCUGAAACAGCAUGCUUAGCCAAUUCCCCAGGCAGAACAAGCCUGACUGCCGUCUGAAUUUCCCUAGAUGUUAUUGUCGGCUUCUUGUUGUACCUUGCAAGUCUGGAAGAUUCAGCAGCAAGCUUCUCGAAGAUGUCGUUGAUGAAGCUGUUCAUGAUUCCCAUGGCCUUGCUUGAGAUACCGAUGUCAGGGUGAACCUGCUUCAUCAGCAGCAAGCUUCUCGAAGAUGUCGUUGAUGAAGCUGUUCAUGAUUCCCAUGGCCUUGCUUGAGAUACCGAUGUCAGGGUGAACCUGCUUCAGAACUUUGAAGAUGUAGAUCUUGUAUGUCUCCACACUCUUCUUAUUUCUCUUCUUCUUCUUGUCUCCGGCGGCGGCACCGGCUUCCUUGGGAAGCUUCUUUCCGGCCUUGGGUUUCUUCUCGGCAGGAGCCUUCUCGGCCACCGUAGACUUCUUCUCUUCGACGGGUUUCUUCUCAGCAGGCUUCUUCUCUCCCUUUGGCGCCAUUACAAGAAUUGAGAAAUUUAGGGUUUCGAAUUGGAAAUUGGAUAUUAAAACUGAAACGAGAUGAUGAAUGCAAAGGUUGCGGUAGUUUAUAUGUAUAAGAAGAUUCUAUAGUUGCUAUUGGCUAAAAUGGUUAUUCGCGGAUUGUUGACGUGGAACACUUUUAAGCCGUUGUACUAGUUUUAAUAGAAUAUGACAAUCAACGGUCACAAUCUUGCUUUAACUCAACGAUGAUGAUGGUGCUGUGUGGGUGACUGGAUUACAUACUUUUAAUUUAUUUUGUUCCAACAAAACUCUCCUAGAUACUUAUUGCUAAAAUAAAAUAUACUCCGUAUUUAAUUAUCAUUUAGAUUAUUAUAAAGAUAUUUUAUGAAAUAUUAUAAAAAGAUUCAUCUACACAUUUAUAAAUUUUUACCACAAGUUAAAUUAAACUUUUAUUUUUAUUUUUAAACUCGUUUUUAAAAUAAAAAAACAGUUUGCAUCAAUCUAAACCCACUUUAAAAAAUCAUGUAAAAUUUUAAGUUGUCUUAGUCCAGUGAAGGAAUGAAGGUCACAAACAUUAUUUCUUUAGGGUACUUACCAUACAAAUAGUUUUAAUAUAAUGAAAUCUAAGAUAAAUCUUCAUUAGAAUGGCACAUAAUCAAAGCUUCAAAAAAUUCCGGAUCGUCAACACCUAUAAGCAGUAUAAGAUUUUAGGUCUCUAAAAAUUAUAUAACUACUAUAAAAGACUAAUGAAUGCCUUACAUUUAAUUACACAUUAUUUUAAUCAUAAAUACCUCACACUUUCAAUUGUCACUCAUUUGACGACAUUUUGUGUUUGCAAGUACCCCCCACCCCACCCCACCCAUCCACCCACACACACACCGGUAUAAAGCAUCAAGAUAGUAAAUCACCUAUCGGAGUUCACAAUUAGAUGUCAAUUCAUCGCCUCGCUCAUGAACUAGAUAGGUCUUUUCGAGAAUAAUUGGUGUCGUCUAUGGAAACUGACUUUCAACGUUUCCACAAUACUCGAUAAUAAGAUUCAUUGCUGACCAAAGGGAGAAAGACUGCAUCAACGUCAGUGACAAUGCCAUACCAUUUUCUAUUCAUUGAAAUCAUCAAAAUUGCUCCAAAAUUACAUAUGAACAUAUAAUAUUUCAGUCAUCUUAAUGAGUGUCAAUUCACUUACCUUCACCGCCAGCGGUUUCAACAUUUCCUUCAUUAGUCGAAGGCAUUAUGUUGUUGAUGAUCUUGUUAUCAAAUGAAGGAAUUCAACAAUCACCCCUAAAUAUAUCGGUAAAAGGUAAUACUUUGCCAUUAUCCACCCCCUCAAUCCUCGACGGUCUCUUGGUUGUCGCUUAGAGAUGGUCAAUGUCUUUGGAGGAACAUAAUGAAAGGCUUUAACGGAUUAAAGUGACCAGUCUCAGCAACCAAAGUCCCAUGAAGGACAAUAUAGGGUUUGAUAAGAGUCAAUAACGAAACACUGACUUUCUACAAUAAGGAUCUAGAGGAAUCAUCAUGUCCUCACGGCCCUAGAUCCCACUCCCUAAAACUAAGGAAACGUUUAUCGCUUAGUCCCAAAGACCAUAAUCUUUGUUACAUCCAGCACCAUGGGAAUUUACCACCAUCUUCCUUUUUAUAAGAAAUUGGGGACAAUGAGGACGCUCCUAAAAGUGAUGUUUUCCCCGUAGAAUAAACGAACACCCCUUAUCUUUUGACUUUGUUGUAUUUUGUUGCUUUUUCAUCUAUAUUUUUAUUUUGUUGCAUAAUUACUUGUUUGUUUUUCCAAAAUGUUUUCAAACUCUGUUUUUCCAAAUGAUUUUGUUUUCAACCAAUGUUUUACAAACAUCCACAGUCCCCCUUGUAAGACCCCAAUUUUGAUCCUAAGAUCCAUCAUGUUAUUAUCAUCAUAUGCAUUGGCAUUGGGAUCACACUUUGGCAUCCUCAUUACCCCUCAUUCAUUGGGUUUACAUUGGGAGAGAUCAUCAAGCACCAUGUGAUUGUAUCAUAUUUUCUUAUAAUUUACUAACCAAAAUACCAAAAAUAUGUCUUUGUAUAAUCUAAUUCUUUUGUAGGUAGGGCACAUGCUCACCUUUGAUCUAUCAAGCUCACAUCUAGGGUUUAAGACCCUCAUUGCAAUGAGCUCAAUCAAGAUUUGGUUUAAUAUGGAUCUAAGUAUUAUAUAUGAAUCCCCAUGAUCUUCACAUUUUAUUUUGAUCAAGAAAUCAUCAAGAGUUUGGAGUUGGUUUGCCUUGGAAACCCUAAUUCAUCUGGGUAUUUUGUGUGACUUCUUCAACACGUUUCUUCACCAGUUGAUCAAAUAUUUCAAGUUAUACUUCAAAUUUCAUCAUCUUAUGCAUGUAUGAUCCUCCGUGAGUCUUAAAAGUCAAGAGAAUGUCAAGCUAGCAAGUUGGUUCAUGGUAGUUGACCAGAGGAAUUCAACUGAUCAAAAUUGGGGUUCCCUAGACCCUAUCUCCUAAACUUUUUGUCAUAUGAAAAUGAUUCCAAGACAAACGUUACUCUAAAUGACAUUACAAAAAACUUUCAUGUUAAGGUCUAGAGCUAGUUUUGCUUCGAAAAUCAUUUUUUAUGGUGAAAGAUUAUAGGUCAUUUUGUCUAAACCCUAAUUUGGAAGUCAACUCCCAAGACCAUAACUUGCUCAAUUUUUAUGAUAUAAAAGCUAUUCAAUUUUCACAAUCAAAUUCAAGAUGUCUACUUCAACUUAGAUGUUUGGAGGAAGAGAAAAUUCAACUUUUAAAUGCAUGUGAUAUGAGGAGAGAUUAUAGGUCAUUUUGGGCCAAUACCAUUGAACAAGUGAUUUUCCUCAACUUCUAAAAUGUAUAACUCCUUCAUACUAAAUCCAAAUGAGGUCAAAUUUGUAACCAAUUUUAAGGACUUUGAGAGAGUUACAACUUUUAUUAAGGAAAGUUUCUCAUUUGAAGUCCAUAGAAAAAGUUACCCAAGGUGGAAGAAGUGAACAUAUGGCUUGGUACUUAGAAUUUUUUUUGAUAUGUUUGAUUUUCCAAACUUCCACCUCAAAAUUCAUCAUUAUCCAAGUUUCAAAUGAAAAAGUGUUUAACAUAAAAGUUGUUCCUCUUGAUCUAACCUUUCUAAAAAAGUCCAACUUCAUCCCAUUUGGACAAAGUAUAAGUGACUUGCGCAUGGCUUAAAGUUGGAUGACCAUUUGGCAUAAUUGAACUCCCAUCUUCCAUACACAAAUGCAUGGCUUGUUAACAUGACUUCAGCAUUGCUUACACAUGAUUUUGGACCUAAGUGAAUCAUUACAUGGGCCUACCACACGCCCAUGCAUCCAUGCAAAGUGAAAUUGCUAUUUUUGAAAGUUUGAAACAAGUGUGCAAAUAACAAUGCUUUGGCUAUAAAUAGAAGCUCAAUCACUCAGAAUUGAGGACCCUUGCGCGCCAGCUUUGAAUCCCUAGCCCUAAACACCUUCAUUCAUAGGAUAACCUUGAGGAUUUCCAUUAGAAAUCGAGUCUGAAUCUCCACUGUUUUGAGGUUCAAAUCUCCAAGAGUCCUGCUUCUUUCUUGAUUCAUUUCCACUCCAUCAAGCAUCCAGAGCAAGGCUAAGCAUAAUUGAGAGCAAGAUCGUGGCCAUCUGAACCUGUAGUGAAGGUGAUUUUCUCAAUUUUUUAUCUCUUCGAUUCUCACACAAUUCUCCAUAAUUCUUCUUGAUUUUUGGUUGUCUGAAGUCUUACCAAUGUAGGCAAGAAGAUUGAGUUGCUUUGAGGACAAAUCGAAGUAACUCGAAUCAUGAUCCUCAAAAUUCAACUCCCUGUAUCUUUCAAUAUACUUGGACUUAGAUGAAAUUGAGGCCAAAUUCGAGCUCCUGAGCAUUUUUACUUUAAAUUCAUGUCCUCCUUUUUUAUUUUACUCAUGGUCGAAGGUGGUAUCUCAAACCAUAGGAUCAUCUUAUUUUGUUUUAAUCUCACACGUUGGUUUUGAUUACCGUCCCUGCAAUGCAUUGACUUAGGUCCAUCAUGGAACGCGCGUUGGGAUCCACUUGAUCUGCCACCUCAAUUAAUGAGGGAGAUCAAGUGGUCCACGUAUUUUAGCAUUUUCUGAUUUUUAGUUUAAUUGCUUUAUUUUCAUUAAUUCAUAUUAAUUUUAAUAUUGAUCCAAAUCUCAAUUAAUGAGGGAGAUCAAGUGGUCCACGUAUUUUAGCAUUUUCUGAUUUUUAGUUUAAUUGCUUUAUUUUCAUUAAUUCAUAUUAAUUUUAAUAUUGAUCCAAAAAAUAUGAGACUUUCACCACAAAAUUUCAAAUAAAUUCCUCUUUCAUUUUCUGAAUUAAAAUUGUUUUUUGGAUCAUUAUUAAAAAUUUUCAUGAUUUAAUUGUUUUUGUACAUAUUUAUAAUUGUUUAAAAAUACUUUUAAGUUUCCAAAAAUGAUGAAUUUUUUCUCCAAGGUCCUUUGACCUUGUUUGACCUAUGAUAAACCUCAUGGUCAUUUAUUUGGUGUUUUGAUGGGGUUUUAGGAUUUUGACCAACCAUUAUUUAAUUUAAUGCAUUUUAUAAUUGAUUUUAAUUGUUUAAUUGCAAAUAAGUUGUGUUGGGCUAUUUGUGUUGACUUGUUGAGUUUGACUAUUGUUGUUGGGUCUUAGUCAAAGUUGAUUUGACUUUGUUGAGUUAAAAUAAUUGGAUUUAGGGGAUUGAUGAAAUGUACAUUUCAUCUCCCAAAAUGAAUUAAUGAUAUUAAUUUGAUAAAAGUCAUCCUUUGACCAAUUUGUGUUGAUUUCGUUUCCCCUCCCUCUUCAUCUCAAUCCUAUUAUAUUCUCAUUCAUUUCUUUGACCUAUGAUAUCUCUAUAUCCUAAGGCUAGUGGAUUGUAAAAUCAACAUAAGUAUGUAUGAGAUUAGGUCCACCCAUUUUGCCACUUUCUUUUAAGUGUGGUAUGUUUUACGAGUAUGGUUCAUAAUAUCAUAUCUCUAACAUGCAUUAACACUAAAAUUUCUAUUGAUCGGCCUCAAAUAGUUAUGACUUCUACAUAAGUCCAAUUACGAUUGUUUAACAUAGCGCUAAAUUUUGACUCAUAAGCAUAGCAUUCUAGUAAGUGAGAUUGUAAGUCUCCCCCCUUUCAUGGUAUUAUGUAGAAACUUUGCCUUUUUUCCUUCCUUUGGAAGAUGUCUUGGUUCAAGGAUCUAUGCUUGUGAAUAGAGGGUUGAGUGUUCUCCAAAGAAUGACUUAAACAUUGAAAAGCAAAAGCAAUAUUAACUUCUAAUCAAAUAAGAUUCAACUAACAUUUAAUUUCAAGCACUUUACUUUUAUGCACUUUAAAUUCAAGUCUUUACUCAUUUGCCAUUAUUCAUACCAUUUAACUUGUUUAUUUUAAUGUCAUUUUCACUUUGCUCACUUGAGCUUUAUUUUGUGAUUAUAUUGUGAUUGUAUAUACUUGUUUGUGUAUUUUGUUUGGUUAUGCGGUCUUUUGACCUUAAUGUACAUAAUAACAACAAAAACUCUAAAAAAAGAUUUGUGUGGACUGUUGGUUUUGUUCUGAGACAUUGGACUUAGAAUUAGGCAACAUUCCAUAUGCAAAAGGACUUGGCCAAUGCCAACUUUUCUGAAACCAAGUGCCUGUGAAGUUAACUUUCAUCUGAAGCAAGUAUUGAGAUCCCACUUGAGUUCAUCUGCUACAUGGUCUUAUUAUAGAUGUUACUUUGAACCUAUGACUAAUGCCUAUCUCUGAGCCAUUCAAGAAGUAUGUCAUCUGGUGCAUGGGAGAUUAUGAAGAAGAUCAUGAAGUUGCUAAGCUUGGAUGUGGCUAUCUUUAUUUGAUGUCUUUCUCUUUAUCUUGCUAUUUGUGUAUUGAUAUUGCUUGAUUCUAAAGUCCAAGGGAAAUUUGGGUUUCUAUAUGACAUUCUUGUCUAUUGGAUUGCAGCCCAUUGGUCAAAUCUUUUUAACUCUUAACUUUUAAAUUUUUGUUUAGGAGUAGUUGUAACACCCCGAUGAAAUUAAGAUAAUUGUUUAAAUUAAGUUAAUAUUUUAUUUAUUAAUUUAAUUAAAUAAUUAGAAAAUUAUUGGAUUAUUAAUAUUAUUAUUGGGAUAAUAUUAUUGGGUUGGGGGGGAGGGGGAAAAAAAAAGGAGGGAAAAAUUGGCUUCCCCUACUUUUCCCCAAAUAAAACUGCUCGUUACCUGAAAACAGUUGUAAGGGUGAGUUCCCUCAAUCAAUAUAAUGAGUAUUAUAAAAAUAUCAUGUAUGUUAAGUGAUUCACACACUUCAUCACCUAAUCAAAACACACAUUCAGGAACAAAUAUUAAUUCAAAUCAUACUCAAAUAACAGCACAACAAUACCAACACAAACACACGUGAAUAUUGGAAUACAUCCAUUCAAUAUUACACGCUAUACAUAUUUAUGCAUGAGACUCCAUGCAUGCGGUACCGACUAUUGUGACAUAGUUCAACUCACCGUCCAAUCCGGCACGGCUACCAAGCUCACUAGUCCCUCAUUUGGACAUAGUGACUCUCACUAAUUCCUCACCAUGGGAUUAGCUACCACCCCAAAUGGCCAUGCUAUGCACGCUAUCACCUAGCAUGCAAACAUCAAAACAAAUCACAAUGAUUUACUCACUAAUUCCUCACCAUGGGAAUUACACACAUAAGCGCACAAUAUGCAUGCUAUCACUAGCAAUGCACAUCAACAACAUUUAAGAUAACACUGCUCACACUCUAAGCCAUAAAUAGUCUAUUAAAUGCAUAACAUUCACAUCAUUCAUGGUAUACCAUCACAUAUCAUCAACAAACGCAUAUCAUAUCAUGCACAUAAUAAAUCAUAGUAUAGCACACUCUACUAAUACCUAUACUAUUCAAACAAGGGAAUUGAUCCCUAAACAUCAUACCUCAGUAAGUACAUCCACUCAGCCUAAAAACCAAAAACUGCAUAACAUUGUUUCAGGAAAAUCACAAUCUGCCAUACGCGUAUUCCUAUGCCCUACGCGUAUUGCCCAACUGACCAAGUCCUACGCGUAAUGCCCACGCCCAUUACGCGUAUGCUAGCGUACCACUCCUCAUACGCGUACCAACAGAGACACUUUACGUUCAAACAUCAUCUCUUUCACUCUACGCGUAGGCCUCAUCCAUACGCGUACCAGCUCAUCUCAUACGCGUAUUGCUAGUGCCAUACGCGUCAUGACCAGAAACCAGAAUUUCCGAUCUGCGUGGCUUUCUCUGCUACGAGAUCUAUCCAAUUCAACUUCUACGUCCAAAUUUUACACGCAAUUCAUUAUAUCAUCUAACACGAAUCAGACACUUUUCGAUUUCACAAAUUGCCAACCUUUCUACUUAAUUCCUACGAAUUUUCAUCAUUAUCAUCCAAUUCGUUCAUCAUAUUUCACAGUUCAUCAAUAUCAUUUCAAUCGAGUCAAAUUCGCAGGUUCAUCACUCCAUUACAUGCUAUCCAUAAGACCAUCAAACGAUGAUAAACCCCCUUACCUGAGUAAAUCCGGCAAUUCCGUUAGCUUCAAGCUUUUCCUCUUCUCUUGCUCUGCCUCUUUUCCUUUCUCUUUCAAGCCGCUCUUUUCCUUUUUCACUUAGUCAAGAACGCUUCACCAUGAGGACUUUUUAUUAUUCAACUUAUAUACUGCAAUAAUAAAAANCAACUGUUUAUUUGAUUAAAUAAAGAGCAUGACUGUUAUUUUGGAACAUGGUGUGAAGUGAUCAUGUGACACCCUUAACUGCAUAAUUACUCUGAUGUUGUAUUUUGAUAUUUAAUUAAAUUAUUGGGGUAUUUUAGAAGGGUGUUACAGUAGUCUCUUCAUCUCCUCCCACUUCUUUAAUUUUAAAUCCUUCCCUCAUUUUAAAAUCUUCUUUGUUUGUGUUUUCUAAACUUAGACUUUAUUGCAAAUUAGAAACUUUGGCCUUAUGCCAUUGCAUUUUUAAACUCUUUUCUUAAUCAAACUUGUAAAUGAAUCUCACUAUAUUGACUUAAAAUUUCAAAAGACAAAAAGAACUAACACUCAUUCAAACCUUUUUAGACCUUUUGUGCCUUUGCUAACCUUAAAUUUUUGUUAAAAGCAAUGCACUCACUUUGAAAUUGUUACCACGAACUACGAGGUUUUGAUCCCUCAUUUUAUGUUGGUACGUAGGCACAAGUCCGAAGGUCUUGUCAAACACAAAUAUAAUUAAUGAAUUCUUUUCUCAUCCCUCCACUCUAUUUAUUGCAAACAUCAUUUUGUACAAACACACAUAUUCACACAAAAAAGGACUCCCUAUGAGUACCUAGGACACUUUGAAUGCUAAUACCUUCCCUCUGUGUAACCAACCCCCUUACCUGUAACCUCUGGCAUUUUAUUAGUUUUGAUUUGAAAACUUCUUAUCUUUGGGUUUUGUUCGUACUUUUCCCUUUUCCCUUGGAAACAAUAAAAGCGUGGUGGCGACUCUGGUUUUAUUGAAGUUAAGUUUAUCCAUAGAUUAAUGAUCAUGAAUUUAUCGCUACGCCCCCCCCCCCCUUCUUGUUUAUGGAGUCAUAUGUCCAAUAAGUGGAAUAAUAGUCUAACUCAUGUUUAAAUACUAAUCAUCUAGAGAGGAAGAUAACUUCAAACACUUAUUUUAACAAGAGGAUUUUCCUUAACGCACCUUCAUCGUUUAAUGGUGAUGGGUUUGUUAUAUGGAAAGUUGGAUUUAAAAUGUUCAUUAAAAUAUAUAAUAUUGUAUUUGUGGGAAACGAUAGUCAAUGGUCUGUUUAUUUUUGCUCACUAUGUUAACAGUGAAGUAGUAUAUAAACUUGGUUUCCUUUUGACUAAAAAAGACAAGACAAAUUUCAAAGAUAAAAAAGUUUUAGUUAUCACUUUGUAACACCUCGUAUAAUAUACAUCUAGAAAAUACAUUAUACACAAUGUUAAUUACUAGUGACACACCACAAGUGUCUAACGGCAUCACUAUAUAUACACAUGUCUAAAAGAAAAUAGAAUUAUGACACAUGUUAUACAUGGGUGCCUAAUUAAAAACAAAGAUCUAUGUACAAUAUUUAUAUUUCACAUAAUCCACAACGGAAGAUCACGAUAACGAAAGUCUUCGAAAUAUCAUCAUACAAAGUCAUAAUUAUACUUGUGUAAUUUACCACAAUAGAACAAUGACUUAAGCAUCUAAGGGAAUUUACACGUUGUAUGGAAAACACACAACACAAGUUCACAUAAACUCAAAGAAUCACUAUUCAGAAGCAAGAAACAUUGUUCCCCAACCGGACCUACGUUUAGGGAAAGGCUCGGCUCACACAUGUUCGUAUGAUUCGACUUUCUUGUGAAUUCAGGUUUUCCAUGGGACUCGAAUCCACUUCAAGAACUAUCACUCAUAUGGGACUUGAACCCACUUAGAUUAUCUUUUGCAGUAUGGGACUAGAACCCACUUAGGCGUCCACCCCUCCUCCAUGGACUCAAUCCAUAGUUGGGACUCAAACCCAUUGUGAGGCAUGAGCCUAAUCCCAAUUCUACUUUACAUAAGCAUCUCAAUUGGGAUGUGCAUGAUCAAGGGAAAUUUUUGAAUAUGUGAAUAGUUCUCAACAAUCACCACAUGAUUAUUCUUAUCAGACACUAUGCAAUUAUAUCACAAUCACCAUGGGUUGAUAUCAUAAUUACCAUAUGAUUUUAUCACAAUCACAUUAUAUUACAAUGUGUUUCCAUACAAGCUAGUUCAAUUUGCAAUUGGAUCAUCGUUAACCAUCCAUACCAUAUGGCACAUUUUAUAAAUGGAACGGUCCAUCUCUAGCAACUACUCGUUCAUGGAUGCGCAUCGAUGCACCUCUUACAUUCGAGCAUUGCAACCUAAGUUAUUUACCAUAACCUAAGUUAUCUUUUAUUAAUUCAUUCACCUAAUUACAAACCUAGGUCUAACCUCGCUUUUUAUCAUAUAUUUUAAUCAAUUAUUAUACAAUCAACACGAGUAAACAAUUUGUAGUAUAAUUCAUAAUACACAUGUGUUAACUCAUAUACAUACACAUCACAACAUGAUACAUGAAAUACACAUAAUAGUUCAUCACUAAUUAGGACUUUCGGAAUAAAGUCUCUUCACCAAUAUCCAAACAAUAACAUUUGGCAUUCAUAUAAUAUUUCCUCACAAAUUUUUCACUUAACUUAUUACAUAAACAUUAGGCGAAGCUUUCACGCAACUUGCUUUGACCUAAAUAAUACCACCUACACACCACAUAGUAAGUGUAUGUUUGAUCAUCCUAUGGUGGGGAUUACCCCGAUCGGACGGGGAAAUUUGAGUGGGAUAAGAACAUAGAAAUUCCAUUAUUUUAUAUCCCUUUGUGUUAUUUGACCGUGUCUCAUUCCGAAUUACGUCACAAACAAUGUCACGGAAAAAAACCACAAGACUAUCAGGCUAGCUAGGCGAGCCAACAUCUCACUGAGCGAGAGUGGGACAAAAAUGUAGUUGCAUGUCUCUACUUCACUCAGGGAGAGCUUCUAUCCAGUUAUUUUUUUGCUUGUCUUCUCGCUUUCAUUUUUGUUUUUAUUUCGGUUUGUGUAGUCUCCUUCAUUAUUGCAUUUCUUGUAAUCGAAUUUUGAUUUGAUUCGAUUUUAGCAUGCAUAAAACUUUGGUUAGAUUUGAUCUUGAUCUAAAAGUUCUUUGAUCAAUAUCAUAUGUUAGUGGAAUGAAAUAAUUUUGUGUUUUGGUUAAACUUUGAUAGAAAACUAAAAUCUCAAAAUGCUUUUGAAAUUUUGAGAUUUUGAGAUUUUACAAGAUUGAUUCGAAUCAUUCAGUUUUAUACUGAAUUUUUCAUCCUAAUCAAAUUGGACAGAAGUGAAACUCAAUAAUUUGAUUCUGAUCAAAUUUUACACUUGAUCCUGAUCAUUUUCCUGGGGACAAAUUCUAUUUGAUUUAAUUCGAAUCAAUAUUUGUACAUGAUUCAAAUCAAAGAGAUACUAUAUUGUAAAGCAAAUAAUAUUACACAUGUUCCAAGAGAGAGAAAAAACAUAUAUGAAAGCGUUUUGUUGAAGCUGGAAAGUACAAUAGUGACAAACGACAACCACUAUUUAAUAUAAGAGACACUUGAUAAACCAAGUCUCUUCAACAAAUUUGCAUUUCUCCUUCAUUAAUGUAUCACCUUGACAACAGGAAUGACAAUUUUUUCAUGGAUCACAUUAAAAAUUAAGAACGUACUUUGCCAGUAGUCCAUGUCAAAGCCAGCCUAGUGAAGAUAAUAGAAUGAUUAUACACUAUUAUAGUGGAAAUUAUACAUAAGAGGUCCCUCCCCCUAUUAAUUGUGGAUGUAAAUUACUUCACCAAAUGGAUCGACGUUGAGACCUUAGCAAAGAUCACAACCACCGUCAUUCCGAAACUCACAAUGUGAUACCUUCUCACCAAAGAGCUUUAUUAUCUCCUCCUUAGUGUAUGCCUCAAUUUUAAAAUGGGUUUCAAUAUAACACUUUUUAUUCAUGGGAAGAUCAACGCCUUUAGGGUCCACGUCUUAUUUUAGAAUUUCGUAAGGGUCUUCUUCAAAAACACUUCCUCAUCAGAUAAGUCAAUGCUCUUGUAUAUGUACGUCUUAAUACUCAUCAGAAGAUGAUGCUGCCUCCAAAACUUUGAGCAUAUAUUUAUGCAUAACGGGGGAAAUAAAAGUUCAAUGAGGUGAAGGAGAGAACCUCGGAGAAUACUCAUCGUUGUUGAAGGCCUCUGUCGUGAUUUCACAAAAACUUCGGUGAGUUGUACGGUUAAGGGGUGCAAAAAAUUAAUAUACUAACUUAAACCUUCUGACUAUAUAUAAUAUAGUAUAUAAUUAUAUAUAUUACUUAAUAUAUUAUAUUAUAUAUAUAUAUAUAAUAUAUAUAUAUAAUAUAUAUAUAUAUAUAAUAUAUAAUUAUAUAUAUAUAUAUAUAUAUUUAUAAUAUAUAUUUAAGGAUUAAUUACUAUGCAUUGUGAAUGUAAAAAUUACACCGUCGAUCUUCAUCAUCAUCUGUUUGCUUUACUUUAUAAUUUUUAAAAUAAAAGUCAAAUUUAUUUCAAUAUCCAACGUUUAAGAUUAACUGACUGUGUAAAAUCUUUUUACACUGUAAGUGUAUUUCAUUAAAUUAUAUUUAUAUUAUAUAUUAUAUAUAUUAUUAUAAUAUAUAUAUAUAUAUAUAUGGAUUAAUUACUAUGCACUGUCAGUGUAAAAAAAUUUACACCGUCGAUUCAUCACCAUCAUCCAUUUGCUUUACUUUAUAAAUAAAAGUCAAACUUAUUUCAAUAUCUUUCGACCUUGUUUGAAAGAGAUUAGUCCUUCGGGGAGAUCAUGGUUAUUAGAUGUUCUCAAUACACGAAUAAAUUGAAGAAGAAAAAUGUUAGCGUAUGAAUGUUAUUCUUUUUUUAUAUUCACACAAAUGUUUAAAAUCUUUUACAUAGGCCUAACUCAAAGGAUCCUUAUAUGAGAGAGAUAUCAUCAAAUGGUUUAGAAUUCCAAAUUCAAGGUCAUUAAAGGUAAGGUCGAACCACAUUAUAGAGAACGAGCAUUCGUGUAGAGGUAGUCCAUACAUUACAUAUUGGCUACAUUGUCGCUUACCAUUUUUGGUGUGGAUUAGUUGACAUUCUGAAGACGGGCCAACAUCUCAGUGAGCAAGAUCUAUUAUAUCUUCAUUUGUGUACUAGGACAGAGUCCUCAAGAUUUCUUCGUCUACCUAGAAAUAUUAACCACCAUCCUCGAGAAGAUCAAGAGUCAACUACAUCUUUCUCCCCAUGUUUGUUUCACUGUCAAUAAAUACAAAAUGCCUAACGUGAGUAUUACACCUUGUUAUUCUUCUAACCACUUAUUAAUCUCACCCUCAGUAACCUAGUGAAUGAACAAAUGUCAUAUACACCUAGUAACACUUUGAUUUCCUCGUUCCUCCCUAAGAUUCCCCAAAAAUGUGAGAGCAGUCAUCGGAAUUUCACCAAAGGUAAACACAACACCAACAUUCCUCUACUAUAUCUUAGUAGGGACAGGUUGUCUACUUUCUACAUUAAUCACUCCUAGGUUCGUCGGCUAUGGUUCUAUCACUUCUAGAUUAAUCACCUCUACAUUAGUUCAAGAUGAUGCAUCACUAAUCUCUACGUUGCUCCUAAGAUUGAUAAAGGGAUUCUAUAGUUCUAAGUUUUCUAAAUGGACCAUUAGUGAGAGACUAACCAAAAUCAAAGAACAAAAAGAUAUAAGAAAAUAUGUACAUUUUGCUUUAGUGUAAGUUCUUAAGAUUUAAGAGGGAAGCAAUUUGAUUCAAAUCAAAAGAUUCGGACCCUAAGAAACUUCAACAACAAUGGCAAAAAUCACAAUAAAAAGAAGAGAGAAGUCAUAUAUUGAAGAGUAAAUGCAGUCUAAAAAAUGAAUUUAAAUCCUAAAUUCCCAAAUAAUAAACAUUGAAAGCACCAACAUCAACCGUCUUGAUUCAACAACACAUACCAUCAUCCAAAUUUAUAUAUCCCUCGUUUAUAAAACAUACAUUCAUUCAAAUUUAAGAAAAUGCUCAAAUAUCAAAUUUCACAUCCAAAUCUCAAACAAGGUUGGGGGUAACAUUUCCCAAAUCCCUUCCUCCUGCAGAAAGAAAGUUAUAGGCAGAGGGGACUUCAUUAUGCAUAUCACUUUACAAGGAUUUGGACAUUGUUAAUUGCUAAGAAAAGCACAACGAUGACUACAUGUGUUCCAAGUUUUACUCAAAUAAAUGACACUUAAUCAUGUCUUGUUCAUUUCAAACAUAUUCCUUUUUAUUCUGCAACAUCAAAGUUAAUUAAGUCUAAUUCAUUUCCGCAAAACUCUUAGACCCGAAUUGGGCAGUAGAAAAAACGGUAAUUGUGACAAAUCUUUUUUCAAUUCAAAUCUGUACAUAGAAUGCUAAACCAUGAUCAUGCACAAAGAUGUCGUAAGACUUUGAAUUUUGCCCACAUAAUUCAAAACAAACAGGACCAAUCUACAUAAAACCGUGGAAUUUAUAACAUCAAAUUUGCAAACACUAGGUGGAAAUUACUACAAAUCUUCUAUUAAAUUAUCCUUCAUUCAAAUAAUUAAAGCAAUGAGAAGCAAUUUAACAAGACGAAUAUUUGCCCCACUAUGAAGUUAUAAUACUGCAAGUUCUCCUAUAACCAAUAACAGAGAUUAACAAAUUAAUACACAAGGAUUCAUUUGAUUUAAAAAAAGUUACACGCUAAUUCAGACCUAAUGCUAGCAUAGAUAAAUCUAUAAUAACCACUACAAAUCUCAAGCACUUGUAAACUUAGUGACAGCUUUCGUCCCUUCAGAAACAGCAUGCUUAGCCAAUUCUCCAGGCAGAACAAGCCUGACCGCAGUCUGAAUUUCCCUCGAUGUGAUUGUUGGCUUCUUGUUGUACCUUGCAAGUCUGGAAGAUUCAGCAGCAAGCUUCUCGAAGAUGUCGUUGAUGAAGCUGUUCAUGAUUCCCAUGGCCUUGCUUGAGAUACCGAUGUCAGGGUGAACCUGCUUCAGAACUUUGAAGAUAUAGAUCUUGUAUGUCUCCACAUUCUUCUUGUUUCUCUUCUUCUUCUUGUCUCCGGCGGCGGCACCAGCUUCCUUGGGAAGUUUCUUUCCAGCCUUGGGUUUCUUCUCGGCCGGAGACUUCUCGGCCACCGUAGACUUCUUCUCUUCGACAGGUUUCUUCUCAGCGGGCUUCUUCUCUCCCUUUGGCGCCAUUAGAGAAUUGAGAAUUUGAAACUAAAAUAAAAAUAGGGUUUCGAAUUGGGAAUUGGAAAUCAAAUGUGUUAUGAAUAGUGUUGUUGCGGUGAUUUAUAUAUAUAAGAAGGUUGUCGCGUUGCUAUUGGCCAAUGUGGUUAUUUCCGGAUCGUUGACGUGGAACUCUUUUAGCCGUUACACUCAUUUUUAUAAGGACAUGAUAGUCGACGGUCACUAUUGGCUUUAACUCAGCGAUGAUGAGGGUGCUGUGGGUGACUAGGAUGACGUUGAUACAUGCUUAUUAGAUUGCUAAAAUAAAAUAUACUCCGCAUUUAAAGAUAUUUUUAAAAAAAUCAUCUACACAUAUUUAUACAUUUUUAACAUAAGUUAAAUUAAUUUUUUAUUUUUAUUUUUAAACUCUUUUUUUAAAAAAAAAAUAUUUUAUAUCUAUCUAAAUACAUUUAAAAACAAAAUUUUCAUUUUCAUUAGUACAUCGAAGGAAUGAAGAUCACAAACAUAAUUCUUUUAGAGCAUUUAUCCAUAGAAAUAGUUUUACUUCAGUGAAACCUAAGAAUAAGAUAAAUCUGACACAUAAUCAAAGCUUCAAAACACUUAGGAUUGUCAGAUUUAUAUUUGUAAGGAUCAUUCAACAUAUGUCCAGUUAAACAACUAUAGGGAGUAUAAGGUUUUAGGCCUCUAAAAAUCUUAUAACUUUACUAUAAAAGACAAACGAAAGCUUUGCAUUUAGGUACAUACUAGUUUAAUCAUAAAUAUCUCUCACUUUCGAUUGUCACUCACUUGUCAUCGUAGUAUUUGCAGGUACCCCCUUCCUUCAUUGUCUCUGCUCAGGAGCAUCAAGACACUAAAUCAACUACUUGAGUUCAUAAUUAGAUGUCAAUUCACCGCUUCGCUCAUGAACCAAAUAUGUCUUUUCAAGAAUAAUUGGUGUCGUCUAUGGAACUCGACUUUCGAUGUUUCCACAAUACUCGACAACAAGAUUCAUUGGUGAACAAAGGAAGAAAGAUCGCAACAACGUCAGUGACAAGACCACUCCAUUUUCUAUCAAGUGAGAUCAUCAAAACUGCUCCAAACUCACAUACGAACAUACAAUAUUUCAGUCAUCUCAAGGAGCAUCAAUUCACUUACCUCUACCGCUAGCGGUUUCAACAUUUCCUUCUUUAGUCGAAGGCAUAAUGUUGUUGGUGAGAUUGUUAUCAAUUGAAUGAAUUCAACAAUUACCCCUAAAUAUAUUAGUAAGCGACAAUACUCUGCAUUAUCGACCCCUUUGAGCAAUAUAAUGAAAGGCUUUAAUGGAUUGAAGUGUCAGUCUCAACAAGCAAAUCCCCAUGAAGGACCGGAUCGGGUUUGAUAAGAGUCAAUGACGAAACACUUACAUUCAACGAGAAGGAUCUAGAGGAAUCAUCAUGUCCUCUUGACCCUAGAUCCCACUCCCUAAACCCAAGGAACCUUCAUCGUCUAGUCCCAAAGACCAUAAUCUUUGUCACAACCGGCACCACGGGAAUUUUUCACCAACUUCCUUUUUAUAAGAAAUUGGGUAAGGCGAGGAUACUCCUAAAAGGGAAUUUUCCCCCUUAGAACAAAAAUACCCCUUUAUCUCUUGUCUUUAUUAUAUAUUAUUGGUUUUCCAUCUAUCUUUUUAUUUUGUUGCAUAAUUACUUAUUUGUUUCUCCAAAAUAUUACCAAACUCUAUUUUUCCAAAUGAUUUAGUUUUCAACCAAUAUUUUCUAAACCUCCAUAUCUCCCCCUCCCCCUUCUUGUUUAUGAAGUCAUGUGUUCAACAAGUGGAAUCAUAGUCUAACUCAUGUUCAAAGACUAAUCAUCUCUAGAGGAAGAUGACUUCAAACACUUCUUAUAACAAGAUGAAUUUCCUUAACACACCUUCAUCGUUUAAUGGUAAUAUGUUUGUUAUAUGAAAAGUUAUAUUUAAAAUGUUCAUUGAAAGCUAUAAUAAUAAAUUGUGGAAAAUGAUAGUCAAUGGUCCGUUUAUUCCUACUCACUAUGUUAACGGUGAAGUAGUAUAUAAACGUGGGUUCCUUUUGACCAAAGAAAACAAGACAAAGUUCAAACUUAAUUUUAAAGAUAAAAACUUUUUUGUUAUGACUUUAAGUGAAAAUCAAUUUCUUUAUGUCCUUAAAUGUAAAUCCGCAAAGGAAGUGUGGGACACUCUUGAAAAGAUAUACAGAGUGUCUCUAAGUAUCGGACAAGAGAUAAUUAACACAUGAGUCUAAUAAGUUGAAUCACUAGAUUAAUAUGAAGAUUUACUUCAUAUAUGGUGUUCAACCACUGGAAAUAUUGGAAGACAUGAUAGAACUUUUGUAGCUAACAAAUAUCUAAUAAUUAAUAAUUGAAAUCAUAAAUUUGAUCCAAUCCUUAAAUCAAGAAUAGAGAUGUUUAUGAUUUUCAGGAAAAAUCUAGAAAGGGAGAGAUCUUUGAAAAGCUUAACAAAUUGAUACAAGUAUUAAAGGAUGAAAGAAUGAGCUCAUAAAUCCUAGAAAAUUCAUUGAAGAAAAAUUAUUUUUGAAGAAAAAGAAGAAAAAGAAGAAUAGUAAACUUCAAUAGUUUUAUUUGAAAGAACAAUAUCAAUUGACGAACGAUCCUCAGAAAUUUCAUUGUCUAGUAAUGAAACAACUUCAAUAAGGACGGUGUUUCGCCAAAUCUCAGUAUGGUGCCCAUUUGUUGAGUCAACAUGUGGAUCAUUUCAUAAUUAUUUUCGUUCAUUUGUUGUCUUAUGACUGCGACAGAACUUGACGUGAAAGUUGGGAUUGACUGAGAUGACAAUCCAAAACCUGGGGGUCGACCGAGUUGGCUUGCCAAAGGUCCUAACCCCUGGUUUCGUGGGAAUGGCGAUGACGAUGUUUCGCCAAAUGUCGAACCGAAAUUAUGCAUACUUGCCAUAAACUCGGUUGGCAUUCCCAACAUUCUGUGCAUGGGGACUGUGAAACUGGGCAUAUAUUGCCCAGAAGUUUCCAUCGUUGUUGGCGUCAGCGUUUGAGGCUGACGCAGUGUUAGAAUCGGCCCACUAUACACAGUCAAAACCGCAAGUAUAGCGCUGGAACCAACAUCGGUUGUUUGUGACGCAAUUGUGUCUUCCGCCAAAGACAUUUCUUCGUGUGGUCGUGGUGAGAUCAUCUUACCACUACGUAGUUUCAUAUACUGAACAUUUCGGGUCUCACCAGGUGUGCCAAUUUGUUUCUCGCGACAAUCUCUAGCUUUUCUAUUUAAGAUUUACUUGCAUGACCGGCUACAAAGUCCUAGACUUAUAUGUGUUGAGUGUAUGACUAUUUCGUUGAUAAAGUGUUUAGAAUACUUUUGGGUAGUAAGUGCAAUAUUUUGCAAAUUAGAAAUGGAAUAAAAGGCAAAAUACUGAUGUAAAUGAACAAAGCAAAUAAAAGUAAUUUGGCAAGUUAAAUGACUUGAAGAUAAAAAUGGAAGCAAAAGUACAUUUUGUAGGAAGAUAACUUUUUUCUCUCAAACACUUCAUACUUCAAGUGUAUUCCUACUGCAAUGUUAAAAAUAUCUCCCUCAUAAAUGAAAAUUACAUCUACUUAAAUAUUAGCAAAAAAUAAUUGUUGGGAGAUUACGACCCAUUUAUGAGAUGACAUGUGUCGGGCAUAUCUCUCACGUUUGCUGGUAACUUCUCACGUUCAGCUUCCCACGAUUAAUCCCUACCAUAGUAAGCGGACCUUUUCGACUUUGACAGACUUCCCCUUUCGUCAAUCCAGCGCUCUUGGCUCUCCGCCUCGUCAAUCCAGCUUUCGAGUGUCCUUUGGUCGACCCUAUUUUAUACCUCUUGGGUUGAAAUUUGCCAGCUAAUAUAAUGUUAUUCUUGUAUUCACACCAAUGUUUGAAAACUUUCACAUAAACUAACUCUUUGGGUCCAUGUGAGGGAGAAAUCCUAAAUGAUAUAGAGUUCCAAAUUCAAAGUCAUUAAAUGGAAGGACAAAUCACAUUCUAGAGAACAAACAUUUGUAUAGAGGUAGUCCAUACAUUCCAUAUCGGUUAUAUUAUCGCUUACCAUUUUUUGUGUGGAUUACUUCCCAAUUUGAAAACGGACCAACAUCUCUGUGAAAAAAGAUCCAUACCAAGACGAGUUACGGAGUUUUCUUCGUCUACCUAUAGAUAUUGAUCACCAUCAUCGAUAAGAUCAAUAGUCAAUGCUUUCUCCCCGUGUUCGUUUCGUUGUCAAUGGAUAUAAACUACCUAAUGUGAGUAUUAGGUCUUGAUAGUUCCUCUAAUCACCUAUUAAUCUCACCCUGGGUAACCUCGUAAUGGAACAGACGCCUUAUACACAUAGCAACAUUUUGAUUCACUUUCUAGGUUAGUCACUCUUAGGUUUGUCGCCUCAGGCUCUUCUGUGACUUCUGGUUAAUCACCUCCACCUCAGUUUAAGAUGAUGUAUCACUAAUCGCUACUAAAAUAAAUGAAAGGAUUACGUGUUCUGAGAUUUCUAAAUUGGCCAUUAAGUUGGACAUUAGUGGGAGACUAACGAAAAUCAAAGAAUAGCGAGAUAAGAAAACAACUACCUUAAUUUGAUUGUAUCGUAUCUUUCAAUUAUAAUUUGAUUGUAUCAAAACAUCCACAAUUAUCGAAACAUAAUUCUAAAAUCCAUCAAAAUUUGGAUCAAAAUUAAUGCUCUGGUAUCAAAUUUCGCAUACAAAUCUCAAACAACAUGGUCGGAUACGUUUUACCAAACCCAAUGCUCUUGCAGAAGUGAAGUUACAGGCAUAGAGGGGACUUCAUAAACAAUAUGACCAGUAUGGUUGAAAUUUAGAUACCCGGGGAAUUUAUAAACAACAAAUUUGUAAACAAAUAGACUAGGGUGAAAAUUUCAACACCAUUUAAGCUCUUUAAUUCAAAAAAUUUAAGACGAACAUACCCCAUUAUAAACUUAUAAUACUGAAAAAUCAUACAUAACCAAAAACAAGAGGAUUGAUUUGAUUUUAAAAGAAAGUUACACACUAAUUCAGACCUAAUUCUAGCACUUAUACAAAAUUCAAGCACUUGUAAACUUAGUGACAGCUUUCGUCCCUUCAGAAACAGCAUGCUUAGCCAAUUCUCCAGGCAGAACAAGCCUGACCGCAGUCUGAAUUUCCCUCGAUGUGAUUGUUGGCUUCUUGUUGCUCUGUUGUACCUUGCAAGUCUGGAAGAUUUUCUCGAAGAUGUCGUUGAUGAAGCUGUUCAUGAUUCCCAUGGCCUUGCUUGAGAUACCGAUGUCAGGGUGAACCUGCUUCAGAACUUUGAAGAUGUAGAUCUUGUAUGUCUCCACGCUCUUCUUGUUUCUCUUCUUCUUCUUGUCUCCGGCGGCGGCACCGGCUUCCUUGGGAAGCUUCUUUCCGGCUUUGGGUUUCUUCUCGGCAGGAGACUUCUCGGCCACCGUAGACUUCUUCUCUUCAACAGGUUUCUUCUCAGCGGGCUUCUUCUCUCCCUUUGGCGCCAUUGAGAAUUGAGAAUUUGGAACUUUGAAGAAAAAUUAGGGUUUCGGAUUGGAUAUUAGAAUUGGAAAUCAAAUAUGAUAGAUGAUGAAUGGAGUUGUUGCGGUGAUUUAUAUAUAUAAGAAGGUUCUCGCGUUGCUAUUGGCCAAUGUGGUAAUUCGCGGAUCGUUGACGUGGAACUCUUUUAGCCGUUACACUCAUUUUUAUAGGGACGUGACAAUAGACGGUUACGAUCUUGCUUUGGUGUUACUUUGGUCUUGCUUUAACUCGAUGAUGAUGAGGACGCUGUGGGUGACUCGGAUGCAAAAAUUCUUAUUGUUACUACUUAAUGCAAAAAUAAAAUAUAUUUAGGUAUUGUUUAACUUAUUUUGAAAGUAUUUUUAAGCAUAUUUUUUUUAAAUAUUAUACAAAAUUAUCUACAAAAAUUUAUAAUUUUUUAACAUAAUAUAAGCUAAAUUUAAAAUUUUAAUUCGUAACUAUUUUUUUAAAUAAAACUUACAUCAUUUAAAAAUGAUGAGAAAUGAUUUCAAGUGUGAUUUUUCGGAUUCAAUUCAAGUAUGGCAUCAACAUGGAAAAACGUCAAGUUUCAAUCAUCAUUGUUUCAUCAUAGCUCAAGCAAGUUCAAAAGAGCACGACACAUGGUUAUGGAUUCAUCACAAGUAAUUAUCAUUCAAAUAUAAACACAAGCAAUGAAGUCACGAGCUAAAGCAAGAUUGAAUUAUUAAUGCCCAUGAACAAGAUGCAAGCAUGAAACUGGACUCGGGCAAGGAUACCAAAAGAGGUACAUAAAAUUACCAAAAUCAAGUACAAAGAAUGAAAAAGUAAUCAUCAUUAAGGUUACAAUACAAGAGCAACAAUAUACAUGUGCAAAUAAUAAACUAUGCAUGCACAAUAUUAGAACCAACAUUCAAGUUACAAAGACAAGUCCAGUACGAGAUGAAAAGGACAAGAAAAACAUUGCCAAUAAAUUCAAGGAUAAUGCAGCUAUACAAAGGGGAAAAAAGAUACAAAAGAGUACAUAUGAUUGGGGGAUCAUUCUUGACAAAAAAGGAAGAUACCACUGCACAUUUUUUCCGGAAAACCUUAUCUUUCAACCUUUGAUCAAAAUCCUCAUUCUUCAUUCACCCUUCACGCACCAAACCAUCCUCGCUUCAUAAUCACCAUGCUAUUCUGCAUCACAACAACACCAAAACUCACAUAUAACUUCACAUCCUUCACACACCGAAACUCUUUGCAUCAUCUUCAAUCGGUCACUUCAACCUUGUUGCUGCAUAUCAACUGAGAAGCAAAACCUCUACACACUUUUCUUCUUCCACCCAACUCACAAACCACUACAAGCAUAAACAACACACAACAUCAAUUGCAAUGCAUAACACAACUCAGAGAGGAAAAUUCAAAGAUGCACUCACAACAUAAAACACAACAAGCAAGAACGCAAAGUUUCACAACAACAACCAUCGCGUAAAGAAGAAGAAAAGGAGGAAAUAGUGAGACUCUACCUAAGAAAUCACCACUGCGACUUUGAAGGUAUCCAUCUCUUCCCAUUAGAAUGUGAUUUGAAUGUUUGAUGUGGAAGUUGAAAAAUUAUUGUUGGAUUUGGAAGGAGAAGAUGAAAACGAGCAAGGACUUGUGAUUUCCGGUUUGGGUGGAGCUCCGCUAGACGUAGUAAUUUAGUUUCUGGUGACGGAAUUUCAAGAGAGAGAGGAGAAAUAAUGCGUGAAUGCUGAAACAUAUGAAAUUGGGUUUUGUUCUUUGUUCCCUUUCUUGUUGAUCCCUACGCGUGGGUUUAUGGGCCUGGCCCAUUCAUCAAUGUUUUCCACGCCUCCACAUGGAUCCACUACACCCCCUAUUGGGCAGACUGAGAACUAAUAGGCUCAAACACUUGGGUCCUUGCUUAUUUUUUUUCUUUUUUUCCUUUUAGUGCAAACCCAAUCUAUUUCUGCACCCCCUUUGUUUUUUUAUUAUUUCAUUUUUUUGUUUCUUUUCUUACUAUUUUUAUUUUAACCUUUUUAAAUCAAACUCUUGAUUUUCUUUUCGUUUCACACUUUAAUUAAUUUCUAUUUAAUAUAAUUAAUUUAUUAUUAUCAUUUAUUUCUUGCUUAUAUUUUAUUAUUUACCCUUUGUUAUGAUUAUGUGGUUGAUGGCAAUCUUUUGAAUCAUGGAUUAUUGAUCUUAAGGUUGAUUAAACCUUCAACACUUCAAACAUGUUGGUGAAUGAUCAUUGGAUCAUUCUUGACACUUUGAGGUGUUCAUAUGUUUCCAUUGGUUGAUCAUUUUUUGAAUAUCUUGAUGAUAUAUGAGACCUUUUGUUGCUUGAGCUUGACUUUCCAUUUUACCAGUGUUGCAUUAUUUUAAGAGACUAACUUUACGUUGGUCCUCUAACAUGCCUAGCACAUACAUUAUUAUUGACCGACUCAGAUAGGUGUGGCUUCUACAUAAGUCCAUUUACGAUUUCUUAACAUAGCUCUAAAGUGUCCCGACUUGAUUAAAUAUUCCCUUUGAUCAUUAACCACUAACAUUUGGAAUCAGAUGUUUAACUUUUAUCUCAUUUUAUCUUAACUUGUGAUUGCUUGGGUGAUGAAGUCUUCCAUUUUUUAAAUCAUUCAUAGGUGAACAUCUCGGUUGAUUUAAUAUUCAUUGAUUCAAACAUGUUGAUAAAUGACCAGUGGAUCAUUUUAUACACUUUGAAUCAUUGAUAGGUUGUCCCGUAAUGAGUCAUAUUUUGAAUCCUUUGACUUAUGGGUAGAGGAUUCCUAGGUGAUCACCUCUUGUAACUUAACCUCUAACCACUAACCAUUGAGUUGUUGACCUAGUCUUAUUGUCAUUUAUUUGCUUGUCAAUUUGUUUUCUUGCUAUUUACUUUCAAGUAAUUUAUUCUCAUGUCCAUCAUUAUUGUAUAUAUUCCAUGCAUCCUUAUCUUAUUGUCAUUUCUUUAUUGCUUUGCAUAAUAAAAAAGAAAGAAAAACUUGAUAAAGUGAACAUACCAAAAAUAUGUAUUCAUUUUUGACCUAAUGUUGGACUUAGAGGACUUAUUAGGAACCUUGUAUUUGGAUCUUAGAUCAUGAUACUUGACCUAUUGCUCUGACUUGGAGUUUCAUCUGUGACUUGCAAACUUUUAUUGUAAGAAUGACAUUCAUGGAACUAUCCCAGGGAGACAUGUUUUGAGUACAUUAUCCACUUGUUAGCAUAUGUCACUUUGCAAACACAAGGUUUUCUCUUGGGCUACCUUAAAAUGAGACCCUUUAUUUCUCACAUUGUUCUCUUGUAAAUAUCCAUGUCUCUUACCAUUUCAAAACCAAUAAGCAAUAAACCCUUGAUCCAACAUAAAGCGACAUUUUCUCAAUCAAAUUUAAAACACAAUAAAAUAUACGAAUAGAAUUACGUGCCACGAGCCUUAAGUGGUGGAGAAUGAGUAAGAAUUAAUAUAGAUAAAAACUCAUUCAUGUUGACAACUUAGAUGAUUCCCAUAGAGUAAGAUAGAUGUGAGGGGUGCUAAUACCUUCUCCCCGCAUAACCGACUUCCGAAACCUAAUUUAGUUGCGAUACCAACUUUAUUUUUCUUUAGAGGGUUUUAUCGAUUAUUUUCCCUUUCCUCUUUUUUGGAAUAAAUAAAAUUUGGCGGCGACUCUUCUAUAUGCUUUUUAUUUUAAGCCUUAGUGAGUUCAGUUUUCGCGUAGCGACACUAGGUGGAGAUUUAUGAUUUUAUGUUUAUUUAGUGUUAUACAUGUGUAUUGAUACUAGAAAUAAGCAUGGGAUACUGCAAAACCAUAUCGCGCACAAAAGCUAUCAUGACUUGUCUUCACUAUGAUUCUUUGUUUCCCUUUUUAGUAUUGCUUUUGUUUUUGUUUUUGCUUCAUUAUUCCCUUUUUAAAUAUUUGAUCUCUUUGUACAUGUGUUUUCUAGAAUGCAUAUUCAAAUUCACACAACCUGUAAAAUGCAGAGAUGAUGAAUAUGAUGUUGAUCUUGAGGUCAUUACGUAACUCUCAUGCAAUCAUAAAGAUGUUUCGUAACUGUCAUUUGUGACUGUUCAUGUUGCCUUUUGGCACCCUUCUAGAGACCGAAUCUCACUUGUUCAUCUGCCAGAGUCACUACAUGACCGAAUCCGACUUACUUACGUCUUAUAACAAUGUUCUCCUUGACCAAUAUCUGACCUGCUUAGGGUUUAUGCCAUCCAACGUGUUUGCCCUUUUGUACUCGGCAUACAUAAGCUCGGUCUUUGGGAAUUCCAGGAUGUACAUAGACUAUUACUAUUACGAAAAUGAUUUUCGCAUUUACCUAUUACACUUAGGAUUCCAAAUAUUACUAAAAUUACCUAAUUUAUUAUCUAUUUGCAUUUAUGUAUUUACGAUUUUUUUUUCAAAAAACAAAUCAGCUAUACGCACUAUUUAUUUGACCCACUAAACAUAAAGCUUAAAAGUUCCAAAUUGACUUAGGAUUUUCAUUAUUGCAUCUUUGUUGUGGGAAGAAAAAAAGACCCAAUAAUGGCCAACCACGUGAUCAUUUAUAUUUCAUUAUCAUCAAGCAUAAUAAGUUUGUAUUCAUUAUUUUGUAAUGUUGUUUACUUCUGCUAAUGAAGUUAUCUAUAUCACUGUUACCAUGAAUAAAGAUGCGAUUUCAAGGUUUUUGUUGGUUUUGUAAUUAUAAAAAAUUAUUGUUUGCAAUCAGCUAUGGAAGUCUGAGUCAAAACCAUAAUAAAGGAACAACAUUUUUACAUUUUCUAUUGUUAUUAUUAUUUAGGGUUUCCAAAAAAUUUCAUGCAUAAGAUGAAUUUUUUAUUUUGUAGAUAGUUUCUAAUAACAAAAAUGUUUGAACUUAUUGAUAUGUGACAUUGUUAUGUUAAUGUUUUUGAAACUUAACAGUCUUUCAAGUUCAUUUGAUGAAGAAUGAGACUGUGCUACAAACCAUAUCAAAUGUUGACAAGUUUUGCGAUAGUUAUGCAAAAAAUAAACUUCUUCACAAACAUCUUUAUCAAAAUAACAAGCUGAACGAUAUGGAGGUUGUUCAUGAACUUGGCCAUCAAGACAAAUACUUUAAUGACACGGUUGACAACACACAAUUCGUCAUGGGUACAAUUACUGAAAGUGUUAUUGAAACAAGAAAUGGUGAAGAGUUGAAGAAGAAUGAAGGUGUUCAUAAGGGAAAUGGUGAAGAGUUAAAGAACAACGUUGUUACAACGGUGAAUGUAGUCGUUUAUGGUCUGAAUGUAUGUAACACUCAAUAUUCCUGGGAGAGCAUGAUAAUUAAUCAAAAAAAAAAAUCUUGGUAAUAUAUUUCAAUCCUUAUCCUACAUUGAUUAAUCGUAUUUUUUUCAAUCACAUUACUAAUAACUCGAUACUAUCUUUAAAUGUUUUCCAGCACUUCCUAAAAAACAUUAUCAAAUAUUGUAUCAGGCCUAGGUUGAAGGAGAUCAAAUUGAUUGAUCUUGAAUCUAAAUUUUUUUAUGACUGUUUCAUUUAUAUAUCUAAAAGGAACCAUGUAGAAAAGUCCAUUGGGCAGGGUUGAUAUGAAUACAUAAAAAUAGAGAAGCUUCGUAACAAGAUGUUUUGGCAUUCAGGAUUAACCAAUUUUUUAAAUACUUAUAUGUUAGUUUGAGGAGGAAGUGAUUCCUAGUAUUCUAAGUUUUAUUUAUGGGUUUAAGGAUUAGUUGUUUCAAUCUUGGUUAUAUACCCUUUUUUGGUCCCUUAACUAUACCCUUGGGUUCACAUUGGUUCCUUAAUUUUUUUUCUCGUGUCACCUUUGUCCUUUAACUUUUUAAUAAAUGCAUAUGAGUCCCUUCCGUAUGUUUUCCUCAAACGUCCGUUUGUUUGAGCUAUGUGGAAAUUGAGUUGGCAAUGGUACAUCAUCUUCCUUAUUACCAAUUUUCUUAUUCGUUUUUCACGUUGUGUAUCCGUUUUCUACAACUAAAAUAAAAUUAGGGCAAUAUUGGUUCAUCGUUUUCAUUAUUUUUUUCGUUUUCUUUGAAGAAUGAAAUCCGACCAAUGUUCUUCAUUUCUAAAGCAGAAGAACUCUGGAAGUUAUGAAUCCAGUGUAUACACAAGCUCACGAUGUGUACCAAAAUGUCAUUGUGGAGACAGAGCUAUGAUUCACAGGGAAAUAACUAAUAAAAAAUUUGGAAAGAAUUUUUUGGGUUGUCCAAAUUUUAAUGUAAGCCCUAAUUUUAGUUUGAUUUAUGUCUAAAUGUGAUAAACUCAUUUUGAUACAUAUAUUAAAAUUCCAGGGAUCCUUGCAAAGAGGGCGUGGUUUUUUAAAUUGGUUCCACGAGGAUUUAGGAGAUGAGAAUGAGCAAUUUAUGAUGAAUAUGUUGGAAAGCAUAUCAAAGGAAAUUGAUGGUGCAAAAAAGAAGUUCGAAAAAGUCAGGGUGACAAAUGAAGAAUUAAGGAAAGUUGUGAUGGAAGUUCAAACUCAAAUGAACAAGAUCUUAAAGUGGAAAAAACAUGGAAUAUUAUAUUUUUGGUAAUCUUAUCUGUAUUGUUUUUUAGGAUGUUUUAGGAGUAUGUACCAGUUUGUAUGGAUGAGUUGGUAUGUAUCAGUUUGUAUUAGUUAACAAUAUCAGUUUGUAUCAUUGUUUUGUUAUGGAAAAGUUGGUAUGUAACACAUUGUAUCAGUUUAAUAUGAGUUGGUUUGUUUAGCAGAUUAUUAUUUGUAUCAGUUCAUAAAUCAGUCCAUAAAUCAGUCCAUAAACACAAUGUAACACAUAUUCUUUACUUAACUAAUUUACAAUAUCAGUUCACAUAACAUGAAUUCCAAAAUGAUUUGCAUAACACAUAAAUUGAUUUUCAUAACACACUACAAAAUUCCAAAUUGAUUCCAAAAUGACAUUGACAUGUUCACAAGACAUAAUACUAAAAUACACGCUAAAACCAUUAACUAGACAAAGGUUAAACAACACGACAUUCUUCUUUGGUGUGAUUCUCUUGCUUGGAGUAGACCUCCUGGUUGUUGGGCCAACUACAUUCUUAGUUGCAGUUAAUAUCGUUGUUGGUCCUGGAGGUACAAAUGGUCUUCUUACAUAUAACUUUCAUGUCUUACCGCUUCAUUGAGUUACUUGAGUUGCACUGCCUUGAGUAGCUGACAUUUUCCCUUGAGUUGAUUGAGUUGUCUUGCCCUGAGAUGACUUAAUUGGUUGAGUUGCUGGCCUUUUUCCUUGAGUUGACUGAGUUGCAUUUCCUUGAGAUGUCUGAGUAUCAUUCCUGUAUCCUUGAUUUGCCUGAGAUUGUUAAGUAGCAUUCCUACUUCCUUGAGUUGCAUUACCCUGAGAUUACUGAGUAGCAUUGCCCGGAGAUUGUUGAGUUUCAUUUCUUUGAGGUUGUUGAGUUACAUUGCCUUAAGAUUGAUGAGUAACAUUGCCAUGGGUUUCCUGAUAUGAAACUUGAGUUGUUAGUGUAACCUUACAAGUUGAUUAUUUAUGUCCUGCCUUUUGCACCUACCGCACUUGACUAUGAAACCCAUUCUUCUCAUUUUUCUGUCAGUCUCAUCAAUCUCCCCUUGUUUAAGGUUCCUCUUCUUCUUUGGUCUACCAGACAUCUUUCUAUACUUAGGUGGUUGCACAUCCAUAUAUGGUGUCUUAACCCAAAUAUUUGAUCCAUUCAUAGGGUAAAUCACAUGCUUGUAGACUGCCAUGUACCUAUAUUUCAUAUAAUACUCAGGGAUAUAAUCAUCAAUCUUAAACAUGAAAAGCCCUAAAUCUAAAAAAAAAAACCUAAAUGUAUAGAAAUUCCUAAAUCUAUGAAAAUCCCUAAAGUUUCCCCUAAUUCAGUUACGAAAACAUGCAAAUAAUAUUGACCUGUAUUCGAAACUUCGUCUUCAAUCCUUCACUUCCUUGAUUUCGCCAGAUUGUGCGCCUUCAAAUGUCGGUUCAAUCGUUUCUUCGAAAUCGUUCCUUCGAAAUCACCUUCGUGUAUCUUUAGCUUAGGGUUCCUUUGUUUUGAACAACAACAAAAUGUUUUGGUUGCUAUAUUGAGUCUCACAUCCACAUCAUCAGGUAACAUGCCACUUGAAGCUAUUUUUUUGGCUUUGACUAACGUCCACUAACGAAAGGACAAACGUGACAAUGUUUCAAAAGUUAAAGGACCAAGGUGAUACGAAAAAAAAAAUUAAGGGACCAAUCUGAACCUAAGGGUAUAAUUAAGGGACUAAAAAUGGUAUUUUACCUUAAUCUUUAUUAAGACUUUUUUAAUUAUCUUUUAAAUAUUGUAAUUUUUUGGAAUUUUGAUGGAGUUUAAACUAUUUCACUAUUUGGUUGUUUUGGGUUGUAAUAUAAUGCUCAUACUUUAAUCGUACCUAUAAGUAUGAGAUAUUAUUAUGUUUGAUCUUUUUAAAGUUUAUUUUGAUUCAAUUUCUUUUAUUUCUUACAAUUUGAGAAAUUAAAGUGUGUGCACAAAAAUAUCAGAUCAUCAAACCGUAGCUGAAACUAAUCCGCGUCCACAAAUUUGUUACUAGUUUUAAUAAGAAAAGUAGUUAGAAAAAAAAAGAAAGUAUAUAUGAAGUGUGAUUCUGCUUUAUAGGUCUUUGAUCGAAGGCUCUACUCUUGGUGUAGCUAUUUUUAGGAUGUUCUUCUAUCCAACUUUAAACCGAUCAAAUUGGUCCAAUGCGGGGUUAGCUUUUCUGAGCAUCAUUUGCAUUGUGACUAAGUUCAGGGACGUCAUUAAUGACCACUUCUAUUUUUUUUGAAAACUAAACAAGGAUUUCAUUUGCUUACUCCAUCGGGUACAAUUUUUGCUAUCAAGAAUUGAAAAUACUAUUGCCAUCAUCAUCUCUGCAACAAAUGCGAUUUAGGAUCCCUCAAAACACGAUCACCAACGUACAAAUAUUGAAUUAAGAUAAAAAAGUACGAACCGAAACUCUAGAUAUCAAUUUAUUAGUGUUGAAAUAUUUAGGUGAGAAAAUAAUGAGAAUAUUAGAGAGAAUAUAGAGAAUGAAAAGUAAAUUGUAUAUUAUAUAUUUAUAAAAAUAAAUUAUAUAUUGUGUAACGUUAAUAAUCUAAUAUUCGGUUAUACUUGUAUCCCAAGUAAUUAAGUUAAGUUAACAAAUAUCACAAUAAUUUUGUUUUAGCCAAUUUUAAACCGAUCGAAUUAGUCCAACGCUGGGUUAACUCCCUAUGCGAUUCAGCAGCACAACCAGAUCGGUGACUGUAUGUUUUCAGUUGAAUCGGACGGUCCCUUAGUAAAACUACAAGAAAAACUAUAACUAAAAAAAUGUUAGAGAAAGUAGCUAAGAGAAACGUGCAUCGCACGUGGUUCGGGCAAUGUAUUUUUCGAAGUUCUCAACCGUCAAUUCUCUCUAACCUUACUCACUCCACACUCAAAAGUCACACUUUUAACACCAUGGAACUCAAUCACCACCACCACCACACAUUCCCAUGGCCACCACCUCCACCACCUCCCUUUUCCUUUACACCCCAUUCAACGCUCAAAACUCCAACAAAACAUUCCCCAGACACCGCUACUCUCACCCAAACAUCACCUCCUCCUCCGUCACAGCCCAAUCAAAACCCGCCAAGGAUCAUCUCCUCUCCCUCGUCUCCGACCAGGAUCGCGGCCUCAAAACCCAAAACAACCCCACCAAACGAGCCUCUAUAAUCACCGCAAUUGAAGAAUUGGCCGCCCUCGGCGCCGGCUCUGUAACCACCGGCGACUCCCUCUCUAGCACGUGGCGGUUACUCUGGACGACGGAGAAGGAGCAACUCUUCAUCAUUGAGAAGGCUCACUUGUUCGGAACCAAAGCUGGUGAUGUAUUGCAAGUCAUAGAUGUUGAGAAACUGAGUCUCAAUAAUGUAAUCACGUUUCCUCCUGAUGGAGUUUUCUUUGUAAGAUCAAAUAUCGAAGUCGCUUCGUCGCAGAGAGUGAACUUCAGGUGAAUGAAUAGUUGAAAACUAAAUAAUGUUCCUUUUGUUUAAUUACUGCAAUUAACUGAAUAAUUAUUUUUUAUUUUUGUUCAACUAGGUAUGUUGCUCAUUGACCUAAAUCAAAGUUGUAUUAAUAUUUGGCUGUUUCAGAUUUACUAGUGCAGUGUUGCGUGGGAAGAACUGGGCAAUACCAUUGCCACCAUUUGGACAGGGUUGGUAAGUACUUUUGAAUUUAUAAUGCAUCACAUUCCAUUUCUAUAAAUAGUUUUGAUAUACACAGCUAAAUACACCCGUCUUAAGUUUUUGAAGCUCUGGAUAGGUUCUACAUGAUAAGUUUUUGAAGGCUUUAUGUAUGUUACACACGGUUCAGCCAUGACAAAACAAUUAGAGACUUUAUUAACUACGUUUUAACAAAGAUUAAGAUUUUAUGAGACCCUAUUUUAGGCCCUGUGCUAUAGUUUGCCUUGCACCCUCUCAAAGAAAGUUCUGAUGGUAGAAUAGUUAGCAUUCCAUUUGAUCCUUAUGAUAAGAAAAAGUUUGUUUUUUUAGAUACAUUGAAUUGAAUAAUGAAUGUGAUCCAUAUAUAAUCCAAAUAUGUUAAUUAUUCAAUAUAUAUAUAAAAUGAUUUUUUUCUUCUUAUAAUAAGGAUUAGAGGGAGUAUUACAGUUUAGAAAGAAUCUCUUGGAUAUUAGUGGUUUAAACUUUAAAUAACCUCACGCAAAAUUGUGCUUUUUGUUGAGAAGUGAAACAAUUAUGAUUUCUUAGUAUUUUUUACUAUACAUGAAUCUUUGGAUUCAAACACUUUAGUUUCUAAGAUCAAGCUCAUUGUCAGGAGGUUGCUUAUGUAUCUAUAAAUACCUAUGUGGUAGUGAUUUGUAAACAUACAGAGAAGCCAAGAAUUCCAAAAAAAUAAGUUUCUAAAGAAUGUUGAGUACACAUUGUUAAAUUUGCUAAACUAAGCCCGAAAGAUUGAGGACAUAUAGAACUAGAAGUUUGCAAAAGUGACAAUUUAGCUCCAGAAACAGAGCAACAAAUCCAAGAAUGACUCCAAUAUAAACUUCUUUGUUGAGAUUACAGUUGGAGGAAGGAAAGAUUGUAGGGUACUUAUAGGGCUUGAUUAAACUAACUGAAGUAAUUGAACCAUAGCCCAAAUGUCUAACCGGUUCAAUCUCUAGUCCGGUUUUAAAACAUUGAUAGUUACAUUUCACAUUCCAACUGAGUGGCCAUACAAUACUACUACUUCCUAAUUCUCUCUUUCUUUUCUUUUCCUUACAAUCAUACACCUCCAAGUUACGGCCCUGCCCUUGCUUCUACACAUCAAAGAAUGAAAGAAAUAGGCAAAUAAUCGGUUUCCUGCUAAUUUACUGGGCUUCUAUUUAUAAUCGGAUAGUUUUAUCUGGAAUUUAUUCUUACCACGAACAACCUUUCUACAUAAACAAAUUGAUGUUAUAUGAUCUUAAAUCCCUCUUUUAUGGUUUUCUUUGUAUGAUCGAUUUGUCCCAUUUUACCUUUUCCUAUACAUUGAUUUCUUUUGAGAAAAAUAUAUGAACAAGGUUGUGGGGGUCUGUCACGUUUUAUUUCGACGAUGACGAUGUAGUUGCAUCCUGUUUUUGCAGGUUUGAUACUGUAUACCUCGACGAUGACCUUCGAGUUGUAAAGGAUAUCAGGGGAGACUAUUUAGUUGUUGACCGAGCUUCUUAUAGCUGGAAAGAAUGACUAGAAUCUUCACUGUCACUGUUUGCUCAUCUUCAUUAAUGGAAGUUUCCAACUCAUCUCUGCCUUUAUGGUAUCAAUUCUGUCUCUGUAUUUGAUUAGUAUCUGGCUUUGUCUUGUAUGUCUUUUGGUUGUGUGUGCUAAUUCAUUAGUAUUAAGCUUGUUGUUCAUUUAGAGAAUGUUUAACUUAUAUUGCAAAUAUAGAUUAAAUCCUUUUUUGGAUGGCAAAACCUAUCCUCUUAAAACUACGUUCAUUGUCCUAGGUGACAUAACAUUACUAUGUGUGAUCCUUUGCACUCUUUGAAAAAAAUCAAAAGUGACAAAGAUAAAUAAAUACGAAAGCAUGAUGAUUGUUAGAACACGCUUUCUCAUGCUUAGCUACUUUACUUGAAGCGUUUUUGAGAGUUGUCUGUCCAACAAUAAAACCUCCAGUCCUCAGUCCCACCAGUGAUGAAACCCCAGCCAAGUCUGCAUAUGCAUGUUUCACUCCUACCCACCUAUACACCAGAACAUCGGCUGACCUAAAAAUCGAUUUUCUCUCUUUCUUCACAGAUAUCUUGCACGUUUAAAUAUAUCAAAUAUGACAUCCUUAAUAAAGUUAUGUUGAUAUUUGAAUCCUGGAAGCUCGUUGCAAUGAACAUGCUCCCCAAAUAUAUCCAAAAACGCCUUGCGACAAACAGAAUAAAUCUCAUCAAUAGAAAAUAAACGAAUCAUAAUAUUUGUUCGAACAAAGAAUGAUGUUUCUAGGUUCUUGGUAGGUCUUUGUGUUUAUAACAGACGAUUCAUAGAUAUGGGAAGCAGCUAUACAAAUUCCUGACAUUAGAUCUAACACUGAUACAUAUAUUUGGGUAGUAAUUCUAAAUAAACUAAGUGAUCAAAUGUAUGAAAUGUUUGUGCUAGAGUUUGCCGUUAUACGAUUGUUUGUUUGUUUAGAAGCUGAUGAUAUUAAAAGGCUGAAAGUAGAAUAGGACGACAAACUUAUUGAAACUAGAACAUAACAACUUACUAUCCAAUAAAACACUUGGCAAUGGAAGAAAAAACGUGUUUUAUUUUUUAAAUAAGUUGACUAAUGUGCAGCACCAAUACCUCUAAUCAAAGAUGUCGGCGUUUGGUUUAUUCUCUCAAGUUAUUACCGGUGAUAAGUGUUAGUGUCCUCCUCGAUGCAUUCUCUCAUGUGAUUACAUGUGAUAAGUGUUAGUUUAGUGUCCUCCUUAUUAUUGGUGCAUUCUCUCAAAUUAUUAUUGGUGAUGAGAUUGUUAGUGCCUCCUUAUUAUUGGUGUUAACGUCUUACAAUAAAUAUCCAAAACGUACUUUUAGGUAUUUAUUCUCGUAAGUAUAUUGGAAAUAAUGUAUAAAGUAAUAAUUAAGAGACACAAUUAAAAAAUAAUUUUUUUUAUAUUGAAAAUUGAGAAUGAUAUUUAUUUUUUUAAAAAAUAUUUAUUAAAAUGAUAAUCAUUUUGAAACCAAAGACAAUAAAUAGCUGCACCAAAACAAGUAAUCUUUAAAAAAUCGGUUUAAAUUGUAAAUUGGUUUAAAACUGAUUAGGAGUAAUUGAAAAAAAAUAGCAAAAGUCUUUAAUCUGUUUGGUUGUGGGGUUUGGAGGGGAGGAGCAAGGAGGGAGGGAAUAUUUUAAAUUAUAUGUUUGGUUCAAUUUUUAUGAGAGGAGGGGGAGGGGAUCAAAGGUAAUCUGAAUCUCUUUCGAAGUAUUUUUUCAUUUUCCGGAAUCGAGGGUUUUUCGACGGGAGGGGAAGAAGAAGAGAAGUUAUGGUAAAAUAUAUUUGUAUUAUAUUGAUAAAAUUAUUCUCAUUUUUUUAAAUUGUCUAUGAUAGUUUUUAUCAUCUUAUUAGAAUUUUUCCAUAUUUUUUUAUAGGCAACUCCAUUAUUUUUAUCAUUAUGACUCAUUUUUUUAUGUGCUUUAUUCAAUUCAUUUUUAUUUAUUAUUAUGUUUUUAAUAACUUAAUUAUUUUAUUAGAAUUUUUUCAUAUUUUUUUUAUAGACAACUCCAUUAUUUUUAUCCUUAUGACUCAUUUUUUUGUGUUUUAUUCGAUUCAUUUUUAUUUAUUAGUAUGUUUUUAAUAACUUAAUUAUUUUAUAAGCUGAUGUGAUUUAUUACAUACCAUAUAAUUGUAGUAUGAGUUCUAUGAUAUUUAGAAUUUAAUUUAAUUUUAUAAAUAUUUUAUAGGAUAAGAUGUAUCAUAAGGAUGACAAAAUGGUUCAUAUUAUCAUUGAUCAUUUGAUGUUUAUCCAAUAUUUUAUUUUUAUUUGGAUAUAUUUUAAAUAUUAAAUAUUUUGUGUUUGAUUAUUUAUGUUGUUUAUGAAUUGACAAUUUUUUUUUUGUGAAUAUUAUUUUAGAAAAAAAUUAUUUAGUAUGAGUAUUAUAAUAUUUUAAGGAUUUAAUUGAAAUACACUGACAGUGUAUAAGAAUUUUACACCGUCGGUUAAUCAUAACCGUUGGAUAUUGUAACAAGUUUAACUUUUAUUUUAAAAAUCUAUAAAGUAAUGCAAACAGGUGAUGAUGAUGAAUCGAUAGUGUAAAACUUUUUACAUUGACAGUGUAUAGUAAUUCAUUUCAUAUUUUAAAAGUAAAUUAGAUUUAAAAUCUCCCCCCUCUCCUUGUAAACCAAAUAUAUAUUUGAUUAAAACUUCUCCCUCCCAUUUCCUUCCGUCUUUUGAAUCAACCCUAUAUUUAAUUAAAAUACAUUCCCUCACCUAUCCUCCUCUCUCUCUCCUUUAAUAAAAUCUUUACCGAUUUUAACUUUAAAGAAAAAAAUCUUAGGUAAAAAUGGUUUAUUAGAAUUAGCACCAAACAUAGAGGAUAAAAACCACAAAUAAAAUAUUCAAGAAAAGGGAACAAGAUAAUAGUGAUCUCUUAUAGCGUAUUCAUGUAUCUUAGGUUCAAAUUCUCUAAGUGGUGCCAACUAAAAAGUUUAGGGUCUUUAUUAAAAUAAGUUAUAAAUAGAUUGUUAUGAAAUAAUAAAAAAGAAUAAAACAUUAGAGAGUAAAGAAUAAAAAUUUAUAUUGUAUUUUUUUAAAGUAGGGAUGACAAUUUGACUCAUCUUAUAGGAUACCCGUAAAAUUAUCCAAAAUGGAUAUUGAUAAAAACCUAUAAAAUGGGUACGGAUAUGGACAUGAGCAAUUACCCAUUAAAAUAUUCGGGUAUGAGCACGGGUACGAGUAUCUUAGUAUCCAUCCUGUCCCAUAUCCGCAAUAUUAGUAUAAUUAUAUUAUUAUUAUAUGUAUAUUUAUUAAUAUUAUAUAGUAAAUAUAUAUAUAUAUAUAUAUAUAAUAUAUAUAUAUAAUAUAUAUAUAUAUAUUUAUUUAUAUUUAUUUAUUAUAUAUAAUAUAUAUAAUAUAUAUAUAUAUAAUAUAUAUUUUAAAUAUUAUAUAUAUAUAUAAUAUAUAUAUAUAUUAUUAUAACACUGGAUGUUUAUCAAUUUUAUUGAUACAUAUGUAUAAACUUAGUGCAUUUCAAUAUUAAUUGUUUGUUUUUAUUUGUUAACUCAACAAUAACAUUCUUGAAUUAUUUUAAUAUUGUCAAAAAAUCAAAAUGACAUGAUAAUUAUUUUAUCGAUAAUAUUUUAUCAUUAAUAUGUAACGGUAUCAAGUAUGGGUACUAGUACCCAUAAAGACCUUCACGAGUUAUAUGUUGGCGCCCACACGGAUAUGGAUCGGGUACGAAGAUUUUUCAAACUACGGUAUGCAUUUCAUUAUUAUAUAUUUUAUAAUAUAUAAUAUAUAUAUAUAUAUAUAUAUAUAUUAUAUAUAUAUAUAUUUAUAUUAUAUAUAAUAUAUAUAUAUUAUAUAUUAUAUUAUAAACAUGGAUUUUAUCAUUUUAUUGAAUACAUAUGUAUAAACUUGUAUGCAUUUCAAUAUAAUUGUUGGUUAUUUGUUUAACCUAACAAUACAUUCUUGAUUUUUUUUAAUAUUGUCAAAAAUCAAAAUGAUAUAAAUUAUAAUUUAUCGAUAAUAUUUUAUCAUUAAUAUGGGUAAACGGUACAAGUAUGGUACUUAGCUACCAUAAAGUACUUCCAGGUAUAAAUGUUUGGCGCCACCACGGAUAUGACUCGGGUACGAAUUUUUUUCAAAUACGGUAUGCUUUCAAUAGAUAUAUAUUACUUAUAUACCUAUAUAUUAUAUAUAUAUAUAUAUAUAUAUAUAUAUAUUAUUAUAAACACAUGGAUGUUUAUCAAUUUUAUUGAAUACAUAUGUAUUAAACUUGUAUGCAUUUCAAUAUAAUUGUUUGUUUAUUUGUUAACUCAACAAUAACAUUCUUGAAUUAUUUUUAAUAUUGUCAAAAAAUCAAAAUGACAUGAUAAAUUAUAAUUUAUCGAUAAUAUUUUAUCAUUAAUAUGGGUAAACGGGUACAAGUAUGGGUACUUAGCUACCCAUAAAGUACCUUCACGAGUAUAAAUGUUGGCGCCCACACGGAUAUGGACUCGGGUACGAAGAUUUUUUCAAACUACGGGUAUGGAGACGGGUACUAUAGUAUCUUGUCCAAACCUUACCCAUUGUCAUCCCUAUUCUCAAGUGUGACAUUUACAUUAUAAUAUAAAUCCUAUUUAUAGGAUAUAUGUAAGUUGCAAAAUGAAUAUCAAUAUCAAUUACAUUUAAUCAUAUAAUUAAAGUAUAUUAAAUUAUUAGGGAAAACAAACAUUCAUAUUAAACAUUAUUCAUAACACUCCCCUUGGAUGUUCAUUGAAUAUAUGUCUCGUUAAAAUCUUACUAGAAAAAAUUCAAUAAAAAAGUGAGUAAAAAAAUACAAUAUCUUAUGAAUGAGAACUGUCUCGUUAAAAACUUUAUUAGGAAAAAUCUAGUGGGACAAAACCACGGUGAAGGAAAAAGAGUGCAAAACAUAUUUAUAUCUCCCCCUGAUGCAUACAUUUCUAUAUGAGACUAUAUUAUUUGUAGAGUUGCUUAAAAGUUCUUGUAUAUCUUCCCCUUAACAAAUAUUUACUAAGACAAUUAUAUCACACAUGUCUAUAUUGUUUUAGUCCAUAGUGAGACUUGCUCAAUUUGAUAUAAUAGCUUUCUUGAGAUCCAAAAUUAGGCAUCUCAAGUAUAUUAAACCAUUUAGGGAGUUGUUAGCUCAUAUUUUCGACGCCCAUUAAGAAUUAUCAAAAAAGGAAAUCAUAUGUAUAACUGUUUUUCGACCAGGAGGUGAUAUUCGACCAGCUGAGGGUGAUUUGUCAAAGUAUCUACAAAAACCUGUAAAUUUACCAAGUACUCGUGUGAAGAAGAAUCAUAAAUCACAGAAUGUACGUUUGUUUACACCAUUGUUAGUUACUUCAAAGCAAUACAAAUUUGACUCUUUUUUUUAUAGAAAUACUCUUAUUUACUUCUUCAUUCCAAACACUCUUCUUUUACUUCGUCAUUUACAGUCUUAAGAUUUCAUUGCUUUCAACAUUUACUUUUGUCACUUGUUUAUUGCUACAAGUCCUUUACAAUUUCUCUCAUUCAUAUCAGCCUUUUUAUUAGUUUUCAAACUCUAAUUUUACGCUUAUUAUUGGAGUGUUCGUUAUUACCAAAACUCAUUUUCAAAACAACUAGCACAUGUCUUAGGAUCAAUCUGAUCGAUCCUGCAAGUAAUCAAUUUUAGAAAUUUGGAAGAUCAGCGGUUGUUUACCGAUUUUAAAGGUAAAAAAAUUGGCAGGCCUAGUGGGACCAGUGCUAACGUUACAAAUUAUAUGUAGUUCUGAUUGUUAAAUUUUAUUUUUGGGAAAAGAUUCGUUGUAUAUUAUUAAGAAGUGAUAAAGUAGCCAAAAACAACGAACAACGAACAAGGAGAGAAUCCCAUACGAGGAUGGCAAAUGUGAAUGCGCCAGAUACCCAAAACUCUCAAAAUUCAUCAACCAGUAACAUAACACCCCCUUCUUCUUCGAUAGGGGCAAACACGACCAUGUCGCAUGUGUCCGAAGUAGUUCCGUCCAUGAUGAGUUCGAUGCCUAUGCAUUCGAUCUCCCAUACUGAACCAAUUUUAACAUAUGUUAGGCCUAGGGGACCUCCUCAUACUCCCCCACCAAUUAGAGAUAUUCCAAAUAGGCCAUUGGUACCCCCUAGUUUCUCAAUACCAUUUGGUUGUCGAGAACAAUCGUAUGGAAUGCCAACUUCAGUAAUAGCCAAUUUACACAACACUGGUUCUACUUUUUUAGAACCAGUGGUUAACAUAAAUUCUCUAGUACAAGGGUCUGGAGUUAACAUGGGUAGAACUAACCAAUCUUCAGGUUUGAGACAUCCAACACAACUACCUACUCUUACCAAUAACUCCGCGGCAACAUGGAGGCAACAAAUGGACGAAAGCAACCAUGAAAUGGUUCAGAUGUUGACCUAGACUUUGACCAUCGUAUUGAAUCCUUUGAUUCAAAAUACGACUUAGUCAAAUCAACAGAUGACAACAAAAGUGGCAUGAAUGUCUGAAUUCCUUAGUGUACCGCAACACCAACGACACCCUCCUAGAGAUUGGGAAAGAGAAAAUCAAGAGGCCACUUUUGAAGAAGACCUCACUAUUAACCAGAUCCCACAAAACCAAGGGGGAGUAGUAGUACCCCUUAGGAUCGAACCACAAAUACCCAGGGAACCAAGGGUAUUAAUGGUGAAUAGAAACCAAAAUGUCGAUGAUAUCAUACAGUAAGUUCGACAUGACGAUGUGGAAGCAGAUAAUAAUCUAGCAGCUAUAGUCGAAAGAAUUAUGGUUCAAAAUGGGGUAAAUUUCGGUCUUAGAAGGCCAAAUUAUACGUCACCUUUGUCAGAGUAUAUCUUGCAGGCAAAAGCACCCCUAGAACCAAAAUCCCCAAAUUCACUAAGUUUUCUAGGGAUACCAUUGAAUCCAUUGUAGAGCACGUGGCUAGAUAUUUAAUUGAGGCAGGAGAUAUGUCAUAUAAUGAGAGCCUUAGGAUAAUUUUUUUUCAAGUUCUCUCACAAAGAAUGCUUUCACAGGGUUCACCACCUUGCCACAAAGUUCGAUCCACACUUGGAACCAACUGGAAAGAAUUUUCCAUGAGUAGUUUUACAUGGGGAAAACGAAGAUAAGGUUGAAAGAAUUGGCUAGUAUCAAGCGAAAGUUCAUUGAGCUGAUUGAUGACUAUCUAAAUAGGUUUCGAUUGCUCAAAGCUAGGUGUUUUACACAAAUACCAGAGCAUGAACUGGUCGAAAUGGCCGCUGGGGGCCUCGACUAUUCGAUUAGGAAGAAAUUAGAUACUCAAUACCCGAGGGAUAUGACCCAUUUGGCUGAUAGGGUUCGACAGUUGGAACGUUUGAAGGACGAAAAGGUCAGGGUAAAUAAAGGUAAAAUGGUAGCCUAUGUCGAUUUCAGAAAUGAUGAUGAAGGUUCUUGUCACGAAAUUUCAGACUUCGACGAUAAUGAGAUCGACCUUGCUGAAUUGACGCAAGGGCCAUCAUAUGCGUGCAAAGUUUUAGCACAUUCGAAUGGGAAAAAUUAUGUCGAACCAGAAAAGAGUGACAAAUUUCCUAAGAAAACUUAUACGUUUGACGUUACAAAAUGUGAUGAAAUUUUUGACUUGUUAGUCAAGGAUGGUUAAAUGAUAGUACCUUCGGGUGCUAAAGCACCUCCUUUAGAGCAAAGAAAGAAAAGAGGGUUUUGCAAAUACCAUGGUUUUCUAGGUCAUAAAACGUCUCAAUGUUUUCUUUUCAGGGAUCUUGUGCAAAAUGCCAUCCAGGAAGGAAAACUCAAGUUCAGAGACAAAACACGGAGCCAGAUGAAGAUCGACCCCGAUCUUCUACAAGUAGCUGAGGCCCAUUAUACUGAACCUGAAGAAGUGAGCCUUAUUGAAGUCGCUGAAGAUUUCAAAAUGACUGAAGUCACUGAGGACUUCGUCAAUGUACCUAUUAUGGCGAAGGUUCAUGAAUACUUCGAGCAAAAGCCUCUUGAUGAUUUCGCUCAAAAGGCUGCAGGAGAUAUCACCAACAAAAAUGCUGAUGCCUCCAACACUAAGGACGCUGAAAGUUCAAAGCUAAUGAUGAUCACCAAAGAAAUCGCUAAUGGUUUCGUCUAGAUGGGCAAGGCCACUGAGGGUCUUCAAAUACAAUUCCAAAGGUUAGAUAUCACUGAAGAUAUCCACAUGGAAGUCAAUAUGGUCGAGGUAUCUCAAGAGACCUAUGGAGGUCGACGAUGAAUGUCGACAGAAGGAGUAUGACAAAAUUGUCUUCCCUUAAGAGGAAGAAACGCUGUCUGACUUCCUCCGAAGGUGUCAGAAAAAGAAGUCGGAAGUCAUGAUGUGCCCUCGGUGCAGUGCUGUAUUCGACAAGAAAGCAACUUAAAAUCUUGAAGGGGUUAGAAGAGUAAACCACCGAGAUGGUCGCAAAGCCUCCCUAGAUAUCCCAAUCGGGAUGGUAUCCGUGAUGCCAAGGGAAUUCGAUCGGAUUACUAAAGUCGAAGACACCGACAACAUCACAAAGAGAGAAAUGGCUGCUCACAAGCCUGUGUGUUACUAUGUGAUGAAUAACGACUGUGUUGAAGAGCAAAAUGCCUUCUUCGAGAGGCCAAGUGAAGCCAUGAGGAGCCACCUUAAACCUCUUUUCAUCACUGGAAAAGUCGAAGACGUCCCCAUUAGUAAAAUAUUGGUGGAUUGCGGAGCGACUAUGAAUUUAAUGCCUCACCGUAUGCUAAAUUUUUUUGGCAAAUAUGAUACUGAUGCCAAACCUCAUAAUAUGGUGCUAACCAACUAUAAAGGUAAAGUGGGUUCCACUAUGAGAGUCAUCCAAGUCGAAUUAACAGUAGGGACAAUCACAAGAUCCACAAUGUUUAUGAUUGUGGAAACAAAGGCUAAUUAUAAUCUGUUGCUUGGAAGGGAAUGGAUACAUGGGGUCGGAGCUGUCCCAUCCUCAUUGCACCAGAGGAUAAUAAUUUGGCGCCCAGAUGGUAUUGUCGAAAACAUCGAGGCGAAUCAAGGGUACUUUAAAACCCCUAUCAAUCAUGUUGACAUGCGCAAAUUUGACAAACAUUUGGCCACCAUAGCUCCCUGUGAUUCGGCUGGGUUUGCAUUCACCCCUGAUGACAACGUUUAUUGUUCCAUGUCACUGCACUCUCACUAUGGUUUUCAUUGGGAUAGAGAAAUAGCAGGCGAAGAAGACUUCAUAUAUUUGGGAGUGUCUGGAAUCGUGCCCACAGGAUGAGGAAGUGUCUUCAGUAAUGAUGACUGAGUUUACAAUGCUAAAAAGGAUUUCGGCUUACAUAGCUGAAAGCAAGCAACAAUUGGCCUUAAAGGCUGAAGUAAAAAACAUGGCUGUCGAAGCCAAUGAAGUUUCUCAAUCGAUAAGUCCUGGGAAGGACUUUGACCCAAUGCCACCUGACAAGGGUCAUAAUGAAGAGCAAGACCAGAGGCUCGAUGCGAUCUAUGACGAUAAACCUUUGGGUUUUGAGAAGGAUCCGCUAGCAACAAACAUUAAAAUGCUAGCUCAGGAUCCUCUCGAAGAAGUAGACUUGGGAGAGGGAGUGAUAAAAAGGCUAACUUACAUUAGUUCCAAUAUCCAUCCUCAACUCAAAGUCGAAGUGGUCCAGUUGCUGAGAGAGUUUAAGGAUUGUUUCGCAUGAGACUAUGAUGAAAUGCCUGAUUUGAGCAGAGAGCUGGUCGAAUUGAAAUUGCCGAUCAAGCCUGGAAAGAAGCCUGUGAAACCGAACCCAAGGCGAUUUGCCCCAACAAUACUUUCGAAGAUUAAAGAAGAACUCGAAAGGCUCCUUCGCUGCAAUUUCAUUUGCACGACCAGAUAUGUCGAAUGGUUAGCUAAUAUUGUGCCAGUUGUAAAAAGGAAUGAUACUUUAAGGGUUUGCAUAGAUUUUAAAGAUUUAAAUACUGCAACCGCAAAAGAUGAAUAUUCAAUGCCAGUGGCAGAAAUGCUAGUCGAUUCCGCUGCAGGCUAUGAAUAUUUAAGCAUGCUUGACGGGUAUUCUGGGUAUAAUCAAAUAUUUAUUGCUGAAUAGGAUGUCCCGAAAAUAACAUUUCGAUGCCCUGGAGCCUUAGGCACCUAUGAAUGGGUGGUGAUGCCUUUUGGUUUGAAAAAUGUCAGGGCAACCUACCAAAGAGCGCUGAAUUCGAUCUUCCACGAUUUUAUAGAGACUUUUAUGCAAAUCUAUAUAGAUGAUAUUAUCAUUAAGUCUGUUUCAGGGAAGAGUCACAUAGAUCAUCUUCGAAUAUCUUUUGAGAGGAUGAGAAAGCAUGCUUUAAAAAUAAAUCCUUUAAAAUGCGCUUUUUGUGUGCAAGCUGGGGAUUUCUUAGGCUUUGUGGUCCACUAAAAAGGGAUCAAAAUAAACUAGAAUAAGACCAAGGCCAUCAUGGAAGCGAAUGGGCCAUAAACGAAGAAAGGUUUGCAGUUACUACUAGGUAAGAUCAAUUUCCUGUGGAGAUUCAUCUCAAACCUUAGUGUGAAGACACAAGCUUUUUCACCAUUGCUUCAACUCAACAAGGAAGGGUUCGAAUGAGGGCAGGCUUAACAAGAAGCAUUUGAUAAGAUUAAAGCAUACUUGAGUCAUCCACCAAUCUUGACACCACCUUGUAGAAACAAAAGUAUGAGAUUUUAUAUAUCUGCAUCUGACAAGACUUUAGGGAGCAUGUUGGCUCAAGAGGAUGAUAAUGGUGUCGAAAGAGCCAUCUAUUAGCUCAGUAGAGUCUUAAAUGAUGCAGAAACUAGGUAUAACAUAGUUGAAAAAUUAUGUUUAUGCUUGUAUUUCUCUUGUACAAAAUGGAAGGAUUAUAUAAAACUUAUUGAUGUUUAUGUUUCAUCUCAUUUCGACGUUAUGAAACAUAUGUUAUCCAAACCAAUUUUGCAUAGUCGAAUUGGGAAAUGGACGUUAGCAUUAACUGAACUUCUUUAACAUUAAUGCCAUUAAGAGUUGUUAAAGGAUAAGUGGUAGCAGAUUUUAUAGUCGACCAUUCCAUAGAUGCAAAUGCACUGAACUAUCUCAAAUUGGAACCUUGGAAGUUGUACUUGGAUGGGUCUAGUCACAAGGAUGGUAUAUGCAUAUGGGUUGUAAUUAUUUCUCCUAAUAAAAUUCCAACAAGAUUCAAGUACAAAGUAGAGGGUAUCUGCUCAAACAAUUCAUAUAUAAUAUGACAAGUGAUUAGUAGUUGAUGCAAUGCAUUUAGAAACAUCAAGAAAACAAGAUAAUAGGUAGAAAGUGAGAGCCAAUUGAUUGGUGAAGGAGGCCCAAUCGAUUGGUUGAGUAUACAAAGUCAUUUUCAAAGAAAAACAAAUGGAUCAAUUGAUUGAUGUUAAAGGCCAAUCGAUUGGCUUUUGACAAAUUUUCGUUUCUUCACAACCAGAGACAAAAAACAAUCGAUUGUUUCCCAUUACCGAUCGAUUGGUUCAGUUGUAAAAGUUACAUUUUCAAAAUAAAUGCAAGGAAAAAUAAAUUGUAGGAAAGUGCCAAUCGAUUGGUCUGUGAAGACUUUAACUUAUCCAAGUUUCAGUAGCAUCAUCCAUUUGAUUGUCCUGGUGAGGAGCCCAGGACCAAUCGAUUGGUUCCUUCUUCUCUUCACCAAAAUUUCCUCUGUAACCAUCAUUUCCAAACCUUCAUAAUUCUAGGUUUCACUUCUAACCACUAUGUCACUUAAACCACCAAUAACACAUGACAUGAUUUAUCAUAACAUGGAUAUAUUCCACAAGUUUAUUCCACAAGUUUCCUCAAGAUCAUGAGUAUAACUCAUAAUAACAACAACAUAUGAUCACAAUAACAUAAUAAUCAUAUAAAACAUGGUUAAAUCAUGAUUAAUCUAGAAUACAUAUCAUGUUAUCAUGGCUUUAAGUCAAUAUACUAUGAUUCAACAACAAAUCCCUAACUCUUAAAAUCACGAGUUUCUAACUAGAACCCACCUUGCUAAUGAGAUGAAGAAGUUGUUGAGAAGUGAUGAGAUGAAAUGAUGAUGAUGCUCUUGUUCUUCUUGUUCCUCCAAGUUCUUCCUCCUUCCAAGUUUUCCUUUUUUUUCCCUAAACUCUCUUUUCCUUUGUUAUGCUUACUGAUAAAAUGAAAUGAUACUUACAGAAAAGUAUCAUAAUAUGAGAUGGUAUUAGCAAGUGGGUUUAAUUAAUAUACAGUGGAGAAUUGGUCUUAAAAGAAGGAGAGAUUUGUGUGGACAAGAAUGAAGAGGAUUAGUAGAAAAUAUCCCAAGUGAUACCACACUUAAAAUUGUUCUACCAGAGCAAUUGACCCAUUAUUAAUGUUAGCAAAAUGUCCCCAAUUAAUAAAAGGUCAGUUCUAAAUAAUAUUAAUUAAAUAAAUUUGAGUUUACUAGUUACUCUAUUUAUCCCAAUUGAUAACUUCCAGAUCACAUAAUAACUCAGUUGAUCUCAAUUGAUAUGAAUUGGAUUGUUUAAUUAAAUAUGGGUUAUUAUAUUGAUUAUGCAGGUUGUAUGGAUUCUAGAAAAUCUAUUCCUGGAUAUGUUUUCACUAUGUUUGGCACGUAAAUUAGUUGAAAAACGACACUUCACAAGGUUGUUUCCUUAUUAACCAUUGAAACGGAGUAUAUUGCCCUUAUUGAACCCGUGAAAGAAGCAUUAUGGCUUGAAGGUAUUCCUAAGGAGAUGAAACUUCAAGGCCGACUUAUCAAUGUUAAAUGUGAUACUCAAAGUGAAAUACACCUGUCGAAGAAUUCAACCUAUCAUGAGUGAACCAAGAACAUUGAUGUGAGGCUGCAUUUCGCCUGAGAGAUAAUCGAGCAUUGAGAAGUCCAAGUGCGAAAUGUUUUGACUAAAAUGUUGUUGAUAUGACCACCAAGACAUUUCCAAGCUGCAAGUUUUUCCACUUUAUGCAGUUGAUAAAUCUGCAUGAAGAAGCUAGUUUGUUGCCUUAGUGUUUGUAGAUUUUAUUCCAAGGUUGAGAUUUGUGAGAAAUUCGACCAAACUCUAGUCUCGAUAAGGAUAACUUGAUAUUUCAACAGGAGAUGUAGAUGUUGUAGUCGAAGUUUGUUCAAGCAUGUUGUCGAAAUAUGUUAACUUGUAUUCUAAGUUAGUAUGUCGAAUUGGACCUUUGUUUAAGCCAAAUUAUUUAAGUUAUCUUGUUGCUUAAGUUAGCUUAGUAGUCUACAAAUAGACUAGCUCUCUCAGGUUGUUGAAAUAGGUUAGUUGUUGGUAUUCACUUGUAAUUUUUAACCCUUAUUGAGAAAGUGAAUAGUAAAAUAGUUUUAAUCAAUUCUUCUUCUUCUUCUUCGAUAUUCUAUCUCUUUCUUAAACCUAAUAGGGUUUCUUGUGUUUGUUCAAGAAACUCAAUCUUUAUCUCAUAACUUUGUUAUGUUAUUGGCGACAUCGUUUCACAACAAAUAUCAUAAAGCAUCUAGAAGGGGCAUUGUAGGUAUUUUAAAUUGAAUAACAAUAUAUGUUUCUUUGAUUUAAUCACGGCCUUUGAAUUAAGUUAAUCAAUGGUCCACAAUUUCUAUCCAUGUCCAUGUUUUUCUACCAAUAAAAAUAUAAAGAAAUAGAGAAUAAAAGAAAAUAGAAAAAAAUAAAAAAGAGAAGAAAAACGUGUGGAUAACUUCAUUUUUUGCCAGCCAGUGAUACCUCCACACACAAAGAAACACGUGUCCCCCCUUAUCUGGAGGAUCUCUGAAUUUGAAAAAAAGAAAGGAAAACAGGCAUGACCCCCAUCUCAAAAAUACGUCUCAACGUCUCUUUUACAUUAGAAUAGGAAAAUUAUUUUUCCUAAAAGGGGGAAAUUCUAAAUAGAGCCUUAGAUAGACUAUUCUCUCUCUCACACACACACAUACACCCCUCUCUAAAAACUUCACUGUUCAUCACACAAGCAAAACCUCUAAAAAAAACUAAAGAGAAACAUCAUAAGAAAAUCCCUUUGCUGAACUAAAUCAUCCGCCCAACACCUUAAUAACCCCAUCAAUCUCUCUUCUAAAACCUCACCACCAACAUACACCAUAGACCGCUUCUGCGUCGGAUAACUUCAUCACUCGAGACCUUUCUUAAACCUUUUAUACAACUCCACGAUUAACCCCUCUUCCAUCUCUCGGUCCAACUUCCAUAACGUUAUGCUUGCUAUGUAGCGCCUCUUUCAAAACUCAUCCUCUGUCCUCCAUUGCUUAUAGCCACCACCGUGCAUCCUCCAUUAACCACUUUGAAACCACCAUUAUCCAUGUAAUAUUUUGGCCGACCUUGAUCUCACAACCAUUAUUGCAUAUCAUCACAAACCACCAAAUGGACUACCAAAAAACUAUCUUUCAACAUACCCUUCCAACCAUUAAAACCCACAUCUCCGACCUCCUAUUUAUUCCUCAUCGUAACCCUCAACUCGACCUCCAACAACAAUAACCACCCACAUAACAACAUAAGUCCUCACAUGGUGCAACUCUACCUUUGGAAACCAAUGGAUAUUUUAGAGUGGAUUUCUAUAGAGGCUUCAAUAAGAUGCGAAAAGAUUUCUAUGACGGUAUUGGAAUUCUUCGGUUGUUAGGUGCAACACUUGUUCUGCCAAAGUUUAAAGUGGCUUUAUUUUGGGUUGAAACAAAUGGUUUUGCGGAUGUAAACGAUUUAGACUACUUCACUCAACUGACAUCGUUUCCAAACAUCAACAACUCAGAGAAACACAACUUAGUGAUAACUCACAUCUUCCAUAAAAAAUUUCACUCGCGUAGCGUUUGAUAUUUUUCGGUUUGAAUUUCAUUUAUGAUUUCUAUUUGGUUAUGUUUCAUUUUGAUUUGGUCGUGUUUGUUUCUUUUUCGCAUUUUCAAUCUCGGCUUACGUUGUUUACUAUCUUGUUUUAAUUUCGGUUAUGUUAUGAUUUAGUUUCGAGUUCUAGAUUGUAUCGGUUAUCAGUUUUUACAUUCUAGAGUGUGCAUUAUGUAAUGUUGUUUGAAUAUAGUGGCAGUAUUUGUUUUGAUUAUGUGAUUUCGCUCGCAUGCCAUUCGAGCCGAACAAUUAUCAAUGUCGUUGGACUUGAAUUCGAGUGAGCUAUGAUCCAUGUUUGUUUGCAUAUAAUUUGUUGUAUAUUUAGUUUGAUUGUUAUUCAGUUAUUGUAUUGAUUGCGAUUCAAUUAUGUGAUACUUGUGUUGGACUUUGAUAAAGUGAUAUUGUUACAACGAUGUGAAUAUUGUAAACAGUAAUAAUAUAUUGAAUUGCCGCUAUUUUAUUUUGAUGCGUUGGAUAAAUC
rnacentral:lncRNA from 1 species